rnacentral:lncRNA from 1 species
ACAUCGGUGAGGUUGGCCAUGAGAAGCUCUACAAAGUUAGUUUUUUUUUUUUUAAUUAGAGAGGGGUAUUAUGGAGUUUUAAAAAGUUCAAAAAUUUGAAACUGAAAAGAAGUGUGUAUCGAGAGAAAUUGGAGAUGUGUUAAUAAAAUUUCUCAAUUAUAAUUAGUAUUGAGAAAUUGUGAUGAUAAAUAAUAAAACCGAUUCUAAUUCUCAGUAUUGAACUUGAUAAAAAUAUAUAACGAGUUACAAAUUUGAUAGGUUGCCUCAAGCAAACGAAACAUCAUUUUUGUCAUUGAUGGCAAUGUGUCCUUAUACAAGAUCUCUCACUUUUCUUUGCCUAACCUGAAAGUUUCCAUAUUCCAAGGUAAAAUGAAGAUCAUGAUUUUUGGGGCAGGCCAAGAGUCAGUGAAAUACAGACAAUACUGUGCUUCAAAUGAAAUUCUCUGAAUACAUACUGUAUACAUUUCUCAUUUGGGUUUUUUUCUAUUACAAGAAAUAGGCAAUAAUAGAUGCUAUUGUGUUACAGUCAAACAACUAAAAUGUCCUUUUAUCAUCCAUGCACUCAACAAGUCUACAAGAACAGUAACAACAGUCCUGCAGAAUGCUGGUUCCCAAAAAUGGAAUUUCCAUAAGUUUAUUCUGUCAAUUCUAACGUACAACAACAAUUGUUUUUCCACAUGUAUCCUAUGAAGUUAAAAUUUCAAAAGAUACCUUUGAUAUGACCUCUAUAUGAACGGCGUCUUCACCAAGAUGUCUAUAUUCUGUUAUUCCAACAGUCACAUAAGUCUGAUGCAGAUUCAAUUUCGAAGCAAGCUUCAGAGUGACAGUUUAAUGUUGUAACUUGGAAAGCAAAGCAAGAACGCCAAAAGAAUUCAGCAUGCGCGCCACCCAAGAAGACAUUACCAGUCAAAAUGAGAGGGAUCACCAUGCAUAAGGUCAUACUCCGACGAUGCUAGGGUUCUCAGUAGAAAAGAAAUUUUCUGCUCUAUCAAUGAAGCUGAUAGGAAAUCUACAAUGCAGCAUCAUAGAGGCAGUUUCUGACGAUGGAAGAAUCUGCUUCGGAGCCAACUCUUCAUAAGUCUUCAUCAUUUUACUUUCCCUAUGGCUUCUCAUCUUGCCAUUUCUCAUGCUGUUUCCAGAAGCAACACCCUUUCCGGAAGAAACCCUAUAGUUCUUGUUAUUGUUACGGCAUGAUCUUAGGGGCACAUCAUCUGCUGGGCAACUGUCCACAUUAGAAUUGGAUCUAACUGCUGGUAAGACGUUUCUGCAAGAUCGCAACAGGGAGAGUAGCAUAUCUGUACUCAUUUCCUGCUGAACCACACCCUUGUUCUGCUCACACCCGUAACAGGCAGCAACCAGUGUGCCAGCCAAGACUGGCAUCAACUCAGGAUCACUGAAGAACACAAAUGGCAAAUCGCAUACCUGACCUCACCCACUAAAUAGUUAGUUACUUAGUUUAUCCAUACAACUCGAAGAUGUAAAAGUUUGUAGGGAAGCUUUGACUGACCUUGUGAAUAAUGGUAGGACUCUUUCCCCAACGAAGGACAGCUUGAUUCCCAAGGUGGAACAGGGCAAAGUGACCAAGGAGCAAAAGAGAUUCAAGCAAAAGCAGCCCCACCUGAGACACAAAACAUCAUACAGAGAUAAACAGAACGUUUAGAACUACUUUAGAGCCGAAUAACGCAGUUACUACAAACAUAAUGAAUCGGUUACCGGAUCAUUAGCUACUUUCCACUUGCUUGUACAAUGAGAAAGCAGGAAACUCAUUAAAUGGAAAAAUUCCAUUUUUAGGUCUGGCCUAGCCUGCAAGCAUAUCAGGAAAGUGGAAACAGAAUAAGCUCAUCAUGAAUAGUUUCAAGACGACAUUAGAAAGUGAGCAUAUCAAACGGAGCCAUAUAUAAAAACAUUUAGUUAAAAGGACCUACUAGCAUUCUCUGCAUGAACUUCAGAUCCAGAAGAGCCAAAUUGUUCAACACCUUCAGCACUCCAGUUGCUACAUCUUCAAAAUUAGAUGGGAGGGCAUCUGAGGCCUGAAACAGAGUAGAAGUUUCUCUGUACAUUUAGUUUACAGGUUCAAUAUACAUAACCAUGAUGCCAUAUGUAGAGAGCAAGGGUAAUUGUAUGAAUCUAAGUAUUCAGCCAAAGAUUGGCAACAGGUGAACAGACCCAAGAUUUUAUAUUUAGUCAAUGUGGAUGAAUUUGCAUUGUAUCAAAAUCUAUAAUAUCUACCACAACUAUUUUUUGGUAAGAUUAACACCAAGCAUUGGUAGCACUAAAUCAGUGCAGAUUCAGAACCAUCAAUUCAAGCAAAUUAGUUUGGGUUUGACAAUAAAAUCACCUGUUCAGAAGACAAUCUAUUGUUUGCCUGUAAUAGCACAGAUGUCAACAGAGAAGGGAGACUGACAAGCCCUGUUUCUGAUACAGCUGAUAGAAGAAAUGCUACUGGUUGCUGCAAGGUCACACAGUUAUCAUUCUUAUGUUCUGCACCAUUAUCCACCAAGUGUUUCUCUUCCUCCACUGAUGCAAAAGGCUCCAUGAUAUCAUCAUUCACCAUCUUCUGGGGUUCAUCUGGAACAUCUGUUUUGACUUUGUUAGCAUUGUUUGCUUCAACCAGACUAUUACGCUCCUCACUACCCUUAGCAGCAGAUACUGACUCCACAGAUUCAUUUAUCUUACACAUCUCAUCUACUGGUCCAUCCUUUGGUACAUCUGGUAGAUGUACAAAUUUACCACCAUUCAACAAAGAUGAUGGAGGUCUAAAAUCUUCCAAGGUCAGAGUUGGAGGAAGAUAUUCCGAAUUAUCACACUCAGCAACCUUAGCCUCUUCACUUCCAUUUCCAAGCAGUAUUUCAACAGGUUCGUAUUUCCAAUCAAUAGAACAAUCAGUUUCAGACCUGGAAGUUAAGACAACCAACAAACGUAUACUUAAGAUAAUUGACGAUGGAAAUGGUGACCCUUCCACCUGGGGUCGAUCAUAAAGGGCAAACAGAUCUCGCAGCCGCUGAAUAACUUGGUAGGAAAUCAGCAGCUCCAACAAACUAUCCCUCAUUUGAAGCUGUCGUUCAUCAGAACUUAUGUGGCUGAGAAUUGUUGUUACAGUCCAUAAAUAACCAUCCAAGACCUCAGAUAUUGAUUCAAAAUUUUCAGCUGAGGUUUUGGUAGAUGGGAAGUUAACAUUACCAGAAGGAUUCAAGGAUACUGCUAUCUUUAUGUAGCUCUCAAGGGAAGCAGACAGCAUUGGGAUGAUCGGGGGCAAGAGAUUUUGUGCAAGAAAAUAACUCCUGUUUGUAGGGAGAGAUAACACCACCCUCAAGAGUUUUAAAAGAUGUAUUGUCACCUGACAGGCUUCAGGUUUUGAUGUAUGAGAAGCAGGCAGGGCAGAUGCUAUAAAAUCAAUCAGACCAGCUUGCCGGGAAGCCUGCAGUUCCAGCUCCUUUCCCUCCAAAUACUGUUCAUAAAAUGAAAAGCAUAUCAGCAUUUGCAAGUCAAGAUAAUCAUCCCAUAAGUACAUUAAACUUAAAAUCCCUACAGGAACAUCAGAAAGGCAGAGCAUUUGCAAUCAUAAAAUAUUCAUUAGAAAAUUAAUUCUAAGAAUAAUAACUUUUCAGCACAAAUAUAACAUAGUUACUAAUUAGCAGAUUUAGAUCUUUCUUUUUCGUGCAGUGGGGUGUUCAUUCUAGAUAAGAGAAAACGGAAACAUGGUAUAAUUUCCAUAAUAAUGAUCAUUAACUCUGCAAAGAAAUGCUUAAUGCAAACAUCAUAAUUUAUAUUAGGCUAUCCAGUAUAACAACUUGAUAAGCCUCAAAACCAACGUACCUUGAUCAUUUCAGCUGUUAUUAACCCAAUGCUUGCAGCUCCUUCUUUUCUUGCUUGUCGGAGUCUUUGAAGUUCUUGAAGCCAUCUCCCAAUCUUUGCCCUUGCAGUUCCCAGUGCCGUUCUGUAUCCAAUGCCAGCAUUUUCAGCACCAACAGGAGGCUCAAGAAUUUCAUAUUUUAGAGCCAUAAGUCUCUGUCGAAUUUUUUUAAUCCUCCGCUUCACUGAAUGUUGUGCUGUAUUAUUGCUUUCCGCAAAAGUGCUACUUCCUAAGCCUGAGAAACUGCUUACUUGAUAAUCAUCACCAUUGUUAAUUGAUGAUGAUCUUCCCUGAACGUCCUUGUUUAAAGUUCGACGCAAUAAAGGUGAAGAUUGAUCCCUGAAAUCCAUAGAAGCUCUCUCUCGUAUCUGCUCCAGAUAAAAUUUUCGGCGCUGCUCACUUUCACGCAAUCUCUCUGCCAAUUUCUGGGCCAGCAGUUCAGCCUCCUCCUGCUGGGCUUUGGCUCUUUCCUCCUUCCUCCGAAGUUGUUCGAUGGCCCUUGCUUCACGUGCUGCACUUGAUGCUUUACGUUCCUCCUCCCUUCUAACUUGAGCCUCUUCCUUUCUCCGCUGUGUUUCAGCAAGACGCUGCAAUUUUUCAGCUUCAAUGAGUUUCCUCCGCUCUAAAACAGCUUCUUCUCGCGCCAUAUCCUCUUUUUGUUUAGUUCUUAUCACUUGAAGUUUUUCAGCUCUCCUCAGUUCUGAAUCAUGAUGCUUCUGGCGCAAACUGAGCUUUUUAUUUUCUUCGUUUAAGGAAGUUAUGAACUGAACCUCUUUGACUUUGAUGCUUUCAUCACCAGCUCUCUUCACUCGUUGAGCUAGAUGUGCUUCAUGUCGAGACUCACUGCGUUGAUGACGAGCAUGCAUUCCCUCCCGUAACUUCAUAUUUUUGACAGCCUGCAAUUCAUUAACUCUAUUCAUCUUUUCAGAGCUACGAUGAAGCUUCUGAGCUCUCUCAUUCUCUAGCUCGCUUCUGAUUCUCAUAGCACGGGCAUGCUUUUCUUCUGCCUCUCUCUUCAGAUCCAAACUAGUUUUUUUCUUCUUCUCAGGGGACAUUAGUUUAUCAUGCAACAUUCGUGCACGAUCAGCACUUUUCCUCCUCAUGCCAGGUGAAUGUGACACCCUGGAAGACACACGAGAAGGAGAUGAAAGAACAUCCUCCCAAUUCCUCUUCUCCUUCCAAGCAUCCAUGGAUUUCCAUGGAGCUGAGUUCCUCUUUUCUUUAUCUUUUUCCAAAAGUGGAAUUUGCCUUUUGGACUGAUCAGUCAACUUGGCAAUUUUUUCAACACCACAUUCUGUUGACAGUUUGUCUUUCCUAGCAAGCAGCUUCUCGGAUUCAGACAUAGAGCCAGACUGUUCUCUCUUAGUUUUUCCAGCAGCAGAAUUAUCCCUAGGAGGCAAUCUAGAUGCAUUAACAACAAAGGCAGAUGAAUUCUGAGAGAGGCGCCCAUUUUGUACCAACUUUACUCUGCUCGAACUGCUUGGUUCAGUAUUCUGAUUCCCAUUCAGGACAGCUUCAACAAGAUUUGAACCUCCACUAUGUCUUCUUGACUUCAUUGUUGAUUCUUUAGAAUUGAAUUUCACGUCAUAUCUUGCAGGUGACUUAUUGAGGUUAUCGCUAGAUUGGAUAUUUGUAUACUUAAGGCCCAUAAGUUGAGCGUCAUUUGCUGCACUAGCUCUUUCUUUCUGAAUUUUCUUAAAAGCCUCAAGAGAUGAGGACAGUAUCUCUGCUUUGUGUGCGGAAGUUGUCAUUCUUCUAACCUGCAUGUGACAUUGACUAGGAGUUUACUAGAUUUUAUCAUCACGAUUUCAAAAAGCGCAAGAACCCUGUCAUUAACAUAUCAUAGUGAUGGAGAAAAGAAAACAUCAAGGUCUCAAAUUCACAUCAAACUGAGAAUAACAUGUUACUGAGCAGAAGAAGGGUAGCUUACCUCCCAAGAAAGAGCAUGUGGCCUCCGAUGGUCACUUUUCAAGGUGAUGGGCACCCCAUCAAUCAACUGAGAUGGUGCCUUUUUUAUUUUCUCAAAAUCUUCCACUCUAGUGUUCAAAUCUCUGAAAUCAGAGCGAGCCUCUUCAAGAACAAGAAUUGCCUCUUUCAUCUGCUCUACAUCGCACUCUAGUUCACAAAGAAGAUAAAGCUCAUCCACAGCUCGGUUAAGAUUCUCAAAGAGAUAGCACCAAAGUCGCUGCCUAAACCUUUCUUUGCUUUCACCUGUGUCACAAUCUCCAAGGGCACUCAUAUUUGAGUUUGAUAUAUAAUGUCCAGAUGCUGUGAGCGUAGGCUCUGCACAAAUUUCAGGGUCGCUCUCUGGUGUAUCUAAGUCAUUAUCUUUGGAGAUAUGAACUUCACUUGAACUGCCAUGACGUCCUGAUUCUUCAAAAAUUGCAGGAUCACGUACCUCAGUUACAACCACUGGAGCUUCAACUUUCCCCACUGAUAAAGUGCUAGCACUUACAGGAACAUCAGUGACUGCUUCAAUUUUUUCAGUAUGUACAUCCUUGCAAUUUAAAGUACUGUUAUCCACAUCAACCAUUUUGUCAUUCAGAAUCGGGUCCACAACAUUUUCAGCAGAUAUAACAUUCACCUCCUUGCAGUUAUCUUCAUAAAAUUGAUCAUUAGUAUUCACUGGAGCCGUCUGAUGAGAAACAAUAUUAGCAUCUGCAGUUGCUGCAAGCAGUUCUUUUUCUUGAGCAUUUGCGGAAGGAACAAAACUAUGACAAUUCUCGUGCUCUUUAGAGGCCAUCAGAUUUUCAUCUCCAAUAGCACCAAACUUGAUUCUGGUGCCGACAAGGUUAGUAUGAGGAAGUGCCAAACUCUCAUCCUCUAGAUCGCCCCACUUAAUUUUAUGAACCACUUCAGAGUUAUCACUUGCAGGGUUCUCCUCUGAAUCUCUAGUUUCACCAUCAGGAUUUGUAAUAAAUGGAGGUGACAUUGGACAUUUAGCACCUUGCUUGUUGAUGCCAAUAUCACAGGGAACAACCGUUUCACUCUUAUCUGGCUUGGGAGUGGAACCUGCAUCACUUCCCUGCCUUUGAACAGCACUAUUUUCCCUUACCUUUGGAAGCUGGGAUCUGCGUUUGCCAGAAUAAUUCCUACUGUUUUCACUUGAUAAAGGAUGACUACUCGAACAGUUAGCAUUCUUUGCAGAACUUCCCCCAACCCAACUCUGUAGAGACAACUUUGAGCUACUUCUGUGUUUCUGGACAGGAGACAACCAAAUAAAGAAAAAAUUUAAAAGCAUGUUACCUAAUGAAACAAUUAAAUUCUGGAAAACGUGCAAAUCUGCAAUACAGGUAAAUAUCAACAUGAAUCCGUUACAGCUAAAAAUCUAUGAGCUUUAUAUUAUUCUAAAAAAAAUAUGGCUAAAGUCCAAUAGAGACAACAAUGUAGCACAUUUUAACAAGUAAAAGUCCUCAGAUACAAACAAUUCAUUGUUAUAAUUUCAAUUAAACGAUUAUAUAUAAGAAGCCAAUAUCGACAUGCAAAAUUGAACUUCAUAAUCAGAGUAGCCACCUCCUUACCCUAAAAGAUGAUCUAACUUUCAAAAGUAGCACAUUGAUAUGAUGAUCACAACGAAACCAACAUUUCCAGGUUCACAGAUAAGCUCAACUGAUUUAUUACAUUGAAGAUAAAUGCCAAGAACAAAGUUGUACUCAGCUUCAAUUACAAUACAACAUCUUCAAAUGGGUUUUCUGAAUAAUAUAAAUUGACCUUAGACUCAAUUAUUCACUCCCCUCAUUCAAAUUACAGGAAAUGCAACAUUGAAAUACUUGAUGUUACUUUACAAAUGGAGCAAACUGAGGCAAUAAAAACCCAAAAAAGCACAGACCUUUUUCACUUCAAACCAUCCAGAGCCAUCAUCAUCUAGAGCUUCUCCACUGUUCUCCAUUCCCAACUGAUCAAACCCCAGAUCAGUUUCACCACUCUGAUCAUCAAAAAAGCCCCAAUUUUUACAUUAACCCAAAAUCAAAACUCACUUCAAUCACACAACCAGCAUCAAAAUACACGAUCUUGGUUAUGAAAAACGAACUGGGUAUUCCACAGAAUCCGGAAACAAACAAGGAAUGUGGAAAAGUUUGAAGCUUUGGUUGGUUUUGUAUGUGUGAAGAACUGAGACAAGUGAAAGAGAAAUGGGCAGCUGAGAAUGAACAAAAGGUUUGUUUGGGAAAUCGGAAUUGAGAAUGUGGGAUGCGAAUUUUGAGGUUGAGAAUGGGAAUUGGGAGGUGGGUUUUAUUCAAAGAACGGUUUUUUUUUUUUUGUUGGUUUUGGAUUUUGGGGAAGAAGGAGGGAAUUAGAGAGAGUUUGGAACGAUGGUCGGUGAGUAGAGUUCGGCGAACGAGUUUGGUAGCCUGUGAUUGUGCAUUUACGAACAUGCCCACACAGCUUUUAAUUUAAUUUAAACCCUUAAUUUAAUAUAUGUUUUCUUCUAGGUUGGUGAACUUAAUACGAUAGGACAAGUUCUUUCGAUGUACUAAGUUUGACGAAAAUUGUUAAUAUGUAUUUCGUUGCAAAAUCCUAAACCUAAUUAGUUUCACACAAUACAUAUAAUGCCUAUUGGGACAAUGCCCACUAGGAGUUUAGGACUUUCUGCUUUUGACAAAAAAGAGAAGAGGACUUUCUGCUUGCCAAAAAGGGUGCGAGCCAUGUUCCGGGCGUCUUUCAAGGUUCAAGAUGCAACAACAAAGCAGUCUGCUAAAAAAAAAAGAAAAAAAAAAGACAUUUCUCUCAAUGUUUGAAUAGGAAUGUUGUUUUGUAUGCAGCUGUAUACAGAAGGCUACUAUAACUACAUAUUGAUGUCUUCUGUCUUUGUUUUUUCUUUUUGGUUGAAAUCUAUUGAUCAUCUUGAAAUAGAUGAUUCAUCAUCCUCUGCUAUAAUUCUAUGUCUAAAGCAAUCCAGUGUGUGUAUACUCUAAAUAGGCAUAUAAGAGAAUUAUUCUCCACCCAGGUGCUUUUCUACUGUGGGAGUCUUCUCGCUAUUGGAGGCGUCUUCCAGCUCUUCAUUCAUCGUUGUAGCAUCCACAUAAUUUGCUAAAGAGUAUGCACUCCCAGGAACAUUGACUAAAAGUUCGUUAUCACUUGAAUUCUUCUCUGUCUCUGAAUCCCCCUGGUCCUAUAAUCAGGUAAUGUGAAAUCAAAUUGCAAUCAUACACUACAUCACAUAAACAUAAUUGCAUAUUCAGACCAAGGAUUUAAUCCCUACGAAUUGGAGCUGAACUGAAAAAGGAAGAGGUCGCUCUUAGAUGUUUCACCAACCUAAUGAAGCUGCAGAAGAAUCAAAACUUAGCCCUAGAUGGAAGACUGACCGCAAUAGGCACCUAAUAUAAGUCUUCGGAAAAAGGGAUUACUAGUUAGGGAACCAUUUCCCUCGAACAAGAGGUUCUUUAUCUUCUAUGCUAUGGAAGUAUCAACACAAAAAUCCAUUUUUUGUGAUUCAGAGGACAAGUCUAUCCAAGGUCAAAUUGGACUAAUAUACCAGAAACUUUGAUGCUUAAGGUACAAGAAGAAUUUUUGACAAUAUACCUACACAGCUGGUCAUUAUUUGAAAGGAGAUUGACUUUGUUAAAACCAAAUACUACAGGAGAACUGCUAAAUGUUAAGGAAGCUAUCAGCAAUAAUGCACGGCCUAACUUUGUUCAUGCAGGGACAGCUUAAACUGGGCAGUUGCCUCUGGCAGUGGCAGGUUUCGUAUCAAAAAACAAGAGUUAAAGACACAUUUCGGAAACAGAAACAGAGUACUAGUUUCAGGACAUACCUUUAGAUUGAUCUCUGUGUCUUUGUUUUUCAUUUCACUCAUGAUUUCUUUCAGUUGUUUCUUAGCCUUGCUCCUUGUUGACCGCCGUUCAGCACAUUGUGCUCUAGUAACAUCAGAAUGACAGGCCACACACAGAGUCCUCAUGUUCUCUAGCCUGCAUUCACCUACAAAAUGUUUGAAUAUUAUCAAAUUAGAAAAUAAGAGUUCAAGUUUGAAGCAUGCAAAACGUAGAAGAUAGAUUAUUGUGUGCUGUAAAGAUGAAGGCAUCCUCCAAAAUUACAGAAGAAUAUGAACAAGAGUAGCUGAAGUAUUGUUGUAUAACUACCAUUUAUAAUAAGAAUAUAUGGUCUGCUCGGUCUAUAUCAUAAUAAAGUUUGGCGGAUUAAUUUCUUACAAGUUAGCAGUCAUGUAUCCAGGUAUCAGAAGUUCAGAACAUAUUCAUGAAAAUUUGUUUAGGCACAUACCUCCACCAAGAUAGACAGGAACAAGGUGAUCUGCAUGCCAUGCAUUUCCCUCAGUUGGAUCCUUUACAAGCCUCUCAAGCCUGCAGGAUGGCAACUGUAAGUGUUUGGCCUAAAGGGUAUCGAUUAUAUUUUAUACAUGUAAGAAGAUUUUUAGAUGCAUCAAACAGAUAUAAAUAUGUUUAACUAGUUGCAUGACAAUCUGCAUCACUCACUACAGUUGCACUGUUACUAUUGCAAUACAGUCUAGCAUAUUCAGAGAAGCAUGGGAACAGACAACAAUGUACGAAAUUUUUAUAACCCUCUGCAGCAACUAAAUUUCAAAGAUAGUCAUCAACAAUUGGACUUACAACUUCUUCAGCCUUGCCACUCUUGGUGCAAACUUUUCAAUAUACUGCCUCCGCUUUUCAUCAGAUAAAGGUCGUAUGUGCUCCACAAGUUUAUGACAGUCCAAUUGACAAUUUACACAAACACCGCGUUCUAGUUGAAAAAGUUCCUGAGAAUUGUGAAUAUGUGAAGUUAUGAAAAGUAAGAAAAUGCACCAAGUAAAUGACAAGAAGAAAAGAUAAAUAUCCAGAAAGAACCAAAAAAAUUCAAUUAUAAGUAUCACAUGGAUAAAAUCAAAGUACAACUGAAAAGUAUAUCUGAACUUGACUUAAAAAAAGAAAAAGAAAAAAGAGUUCAUGUCCCUACGUGACGAAUAGAUCUGUUACUAGUUCGGAUGUGGUACUCUCCAUAACAGUCAAGAUUACAGAACAGGUCUUCAAUAUAUUCAGGUUCCUUGGCAUUGUGGCCCCUAGAAAAAAAAAAAAAAAAAAGUGUGAUUGUGCAACACAAACAGCACAUUAACAGAUCAUUUGAACAGGACUUACUCGCAUGGUGUUUGGCAGAGUUUACAGAGAGGCUCAUCAGUCAAAGUGUAACCCUGAGUGUAUUGCUUCUCCUUUUUUCCAUAGCCACUACGCAGGUGGACCUUUUUCCACACAGCAUUUGAUGGUAAGGGUUUGCUAAUCUCAUCAUAAGGUGUAGACCGGCGCUUGCUUCGGCCCUUCAGCAGUCCCUGUCAUAGAAAUGAAAUAUUUGUUAUAUAUCUGACAGCAAAUUGCUCCAUCUCUAGAAAUUAUAUGGAAGUACACUGAAAUGAAUUAACAAUACAUUCAUCAGAGCAAAGAACGAGCAAUUUUUUCCCAGAAAGGAUAAUCAGACAAAGGAAGUUCAGAAAGUACCGUUUUCUCAUGGUUAGUGCCUUCACACAGAAAGCACAACUCAACAGACAAAGGAAGUUGCAAAGGCUUUCCAAUUAAUUUCUUUUGUUCAAUGGGCCUCAGUUUCUUCCAUUCUUCAUUGAAUGCAAGAAGUGCAUGCAAAUAAGCAGGGUUAUCCUUGAUCGAAUUUGAAGCUGUUCCUUUAAUACUUUCAGCAGCAGAAGAAUAUAGUGACUGAAGUUCCUCUGGUCUAAAAUUUUCAAAAAGUGGCCUUGGUCUUGCAUCCUCUCCUGAGAUGCAAGAAUACAAGUGGAUCCUACCAGUGUAUUGACUCACCUGUAAUUCACAUAAGAAAUUUUUAAAAAAUAAAUAAAAUACUAAUUCUAUUUAACCAUAUGUUCUUUGAAGGUGACAAAAAAAACCAAUAAAAUUGUUGCAUUGAUAUAAGAACCUUGAGCAUUAAUAAUUGUUUGGAACGAUAUUCAGAUGUUAGAGAAAGUCAGAAAGGUAACAUAUCAUAUUUUCACAUGAACCAGCUUCCAGCCUUUGACUAGUGUAAAUGGGAAUCUGAUAACCAGGACACAGUUUUACCUCAAAUCGAAGAGCAUCUACUUGGUUAAUGCCACCUUCUCCAGCUUCAAUUUGCUGAACAGGUUCGUCUACAUGUCCUUUGAUUGGCAAAACAGAUCCGUCAUCAUGUCCUUUGCUGGUCUGAGAGUUGAUUCCAUCUUCCUGCUUCUAAUUCAUAAGAUAAGCUUCAAUUGUAUAAAACAAGUGGACCCAGAAAACAGAGGAACAAUUCAAAUGUACCUUAUCUAGUGAUUCCUUUCCAACUCUACCUUCACCGCUCUUACUAAACUUACAAGAAGACACUCUCCAUUCUCUAAUUUUAGUCUCAGGAACAAUUGUUUCCAACUCCUCAUCUGAAGAGAUACUGUUGUCCAUAUCCCAAUCAGAGACCACAUCGUUCUGUUUGACCAAUAAAAUUAGUAUAGAACAUCCAACCAAAAGGACUAUUGUAGGUUGUAACUACAAGGGAUUAAUGAACAAAAUUAAAUCUCUUAAUUCAAAGGAGUAAUAAUAAAUAUCUUAAAAUUCCACCUUAACAGAAGUUUCAGUUUGUGAUGAAAUGCCAUCAGUACCAUGAUGUCUUUCAGAUCUCUGAGGAAUGUUUGGCACUAACUUAUCAUUUGACUCAGAAGGCUUCAUAGCCUUAGCUAAGCAGUCAGAACCAGGCACUUUCAUUAGUUCUGCAGAGAACUCACUACCCUCUGACUUUUGCAAAAUAAAAUCUUCACAAUUACCAACUCCACGUAAUGUCUCAAAAAAAGAAACAUCUUCAACCUGCAGCCCCCAAAAUAUGACAUUAAAUUCUACAGAGAAGAUCAAAACCAUAACCUCACUGACAAAGACAUUAAAAUAAUCAUGAAAAGUAAGCCAAAUAAACUACCAUAUAUGUCCUAUUGUACUUGAUCUUUCCUAACCAUUGUACAAACCCCAAAGACUCCUCAGUAACUGCUUCUGAUAGAAAGCCUACUUAAACUCUAUAAACAAUUAACGAUAACUGUUUAUCCUUUUUAGAACAGCACUUUUCACUCAGUAACCCUCACUUAUGAAGUCUAGAGUUAGUUGCCCAUAGUUGUAGACAGUGCCAACCUCUGACAUUAUGAGCUGUCCAACAUCACAAAAACUUGACACGUGUCUAACAAUUUUGAACAUAGGAGAACUGGAUUUUGGACUAAGGGAUAAUACAAUAUGGGCUGGUUUAAGUGUCAUGAAUUGAACUGGUACUAAGAACUUACUAUAUAUUAAUUAUAUGCAUAUAAUUAUUUGACCAAACACAGAGUAAACACCAAGGGGUUGAAAGGAGCAUUCAAAGAUCAAAUGUACCGCUAUUUCUUGUAUUGCAUCAUAUUUUCCAUUUGUUGUAGAUGAAACACGGCUCAAACUCCUGUUCAAGUACUGCCAAUGUGACUCAUCUAUGGUAUCCUGCACUAUGCUAGAUUCAUUAGUUCAAGAGUAUGUGUUAUAUGUCGAAACAACUAUGAACAAAAGUAACAAGCACCUUCCCAGUAAAGAAGUAUAUGUUGACUGCAUUUGUUUGCCCUCGCCUGUGUGCUCUAUCCUCAGCCUUCAAUUAUUUUCAGAAAAAAACAUAUAAACUAGAAGCAAGCGUGAGAGUUCACGAAAACAAGAAGGCAACUUCACUAUUUUAUACCUGAAGCAUCAAAGAUGGGGACUGAGGAAGCUCCAAGAAGACAACGUGUGUUGCUGAUGAGAAAUCAAGACCAACACCUCCCGCGGUAAUACCAACUACUGCAAUCUUAACCUGAACAACAUAGACCUCAUGUAUUAUUAACACAAACCACACUGAAGAAAUGGGGUAAAAGGCAGGACUCGACGGAAACUCCAUGAUCAAAUGAAGCAGUACCAUAUUAUUAAGUUCAUGAUGCAUAAGUUGGGAAAAAAAAAAACAUAUUGCAUUAGUUGAAAGAUUGUAGAUAGAUCAAUCAAAACCACUGUGGGAAUAAUUUUUUGUGAUGGUACAGCUGAUACUAACCUCAGUUGAUAGUUGGAAUUUUCGCACAGCUAACUGCCUAUCUGUAGCAAGUGUGUUUCCGUCAAUCCGGACAAAAUCUAUCUCUUUCUGGAGUAUGAACUCCUGAGAAUUUAGAAUAACAGACAUAUUAAGGAAUUGACUAGACAAGAUCAACAUUCAACAUAUGCAAAUGAACCAUGGUAUGAACUUAAAAACAAGAAAGAGAAAUAAUGUGUUACCAAACACUACAGAAUGCUGGUAAACAUUACAAUCAUAAUCAAAAGUAUAUGUAAAACCAAGUUACCGACCCUAAUAUAUUUUUCCAAUUUCACAAAAACUAAAACAAUCAUCCAUUGGAGCAGAAACCCAAGAUAACUCCACUGGAGCAACUGUCUUAAUUUAAAAACAAGUGAACUCAAGGCAUUAUCAGAUGAAUAAGAAACAUCAAUUCUGAAGAAUACCUGUACCCCAUCAAGAACUUUAUGGUGAUGUGCAAAUAUUAACAUUUUAUGAGAACUGGAAUCCGACUCCAAGUUUGCCACCCCGUUUGACUCUGCAAUGACUGGAUGAAUAGAGAGCCAUUCACGAAACCCGGCUAGCUUUGCAAUACCUAAUUCUUGGUAAGAAAGCUGCUUUGAUAUGCAGCAACCCAUAUUAUCUGGAGAAAAGAGUGAGGGUGUGAGAGAGAGAGAGAGAGAGAGAGAGAGAGAGAGAGAGAGAGANNNNNNNNNNNNNNNNNNNNNNNNNNNNNNNNNNNNNNNNNNNNNNNNNNNNNNNNNNNNNNNNNNNNNNNNNNNNNNNNNNNNNNNNNNNNNNNNNNNNNNNNNNNNNNNNNNNNNNNNNNNNNNNNNNNNNNNNNNNNNNNNNNNNNNNNNNNNNNNNNNNNNNNNNNNNNNNNNNNNNNNNNNNNNNNNNNNNNNNNNNNNNNNNNNNNNNNNNNNNNNNNNNNNNNNNNNNNNNNNNNNNNNNNNNNNNNNNNNNNNNNNNNNNNNNNNNNNNNNNNNNNNNNNNNNNNNNNNNNNNNNNNNNNNNNNNNNNNNNNNNNNNNNNNNNNNNNNNNNNNNNNNNNNNNNNNNNNNNNNNNNNNNNNNNNNNNNNNNNNNNNGAGAGAGAGAGAGAGACCAAAUGAGUGUAUACAAUAAAGAAGCUUAGCAUUCAGUGAUCAAUGCUAAUUUCGAAGAUAAGUGAAAUUCAAAAAAAACAAAAUGAACCUAUACACUGUUCCGCAGAACCUUAAGUAUAUCAUGUACCUCUUUAGUACAUUAACAAACCAAUGGUUUUGAGGCAAUGAUACUCGAUGCUUAAUAUAAAAAGUGACAAAACUAGAAAUUAAACAGUGUCCUUUGACAUUUGAACUUUAUUUGUAAACACAGAGGGAAAGAAUACUUAUUUACCAUUUGGUUCAUCUAACUGCUCCGAAGAUACAUCUUCAUUGCAACUCUUUCCCACCCUGAUAGCAGCCUUUGCUGAAACUAUAUCUGAUUUCUUCAGUACAACUUGUAUAAUUUGUCGACGUUUGGGUGGUAGCUGAGAUAGGACAUGUUCCUUCAAACGUCUAAUCUACAUUUAAGAUUCAGAUAAAGAAUUAGAUUUGAACAAAAAGCAUCAACGUUGAAAAUUAUACGAACUAUGAAGUCAGCAGGAAUACUUUUAAUUCCUAGAAUAAGAACAUGUACAUGGAUUUUAAAACAAAGAACUAAAGAACAGAUUAUCCUGACCUUCACAUGGAGUCUACAAAUAGUAUAUCAUCUGAGUAUAAUUUCAAAAUAAUCAAUGAAUAAAAUAAUCAACAACCCGAACCAUAUUAUCUCGUAAGGUAUGAGCACAUAAGAAUUCUAGGAUCAUGAACAAUUUCUGAUUUGAGCAUAGAAUUUCCACAUUUGUUUUCAAUAAACAGAUAAAAUCAAAGUUGUGCUGUAUUCCGAAACUGUCCAUAUCUAUGCUUUUGGGAUUGCAAAUUAACAGUGACCUUGAAAACAUUCAGAAGUUAAUUUUUAAAGAUAAUUACUAAAAGGACUAUAUCAUGACUUCAGACAAAUAAGAAAAGUGGCAUCCGAGUCUAAGGAACAAGAGCACACCAUAACUGUUUGCUUGAGUAACAUGUUCAACUCCUCCAAACGAGUACCCUUUGAGAAAUCCUGCAGCAACAAUACCAUGGAGUAUUUCAUUACUUUUCUUGUGAUCAUAAGUCAUUGGAUAUGAUAAAAGAUCUUAGUAGUAGUCUUAUAAUGUGUAGGUAAAGACAUAGAUACAGAUUUAUUAUAUAUUUACUGUGGAAGUUAAAGCAUCUGAAAUAGUCAACCACAAGGCUCUUUGGGACAAGACAGAAAAAACAUUCCCGCCAUGGCCAACUGUAUCAAACAAGAAACAGGAAUCUUGCAUCAUGUUUAAGACAUGGAUGCAUCAACAGAAUGCCAUUUCUUUUUCUUUUUUCUUUCCAAGGGAUUGCAAAACACAAUGAUCAUAAAUCUUAAUUAAUAGGCAGCACAGAAAGAGCACUUCUCACGAAAUCAAUACGAGAAUUAUGAUGGAUACUCCAUAUAUUACCUGAAAAAUUUUCCCUUGGACACCCCGAACAAAUUUGGCAUCACAGUAAGUUUCAGCAAACUUAAACUUGUCCUUUCCCAGCAAACCAGGCCUGUAAAGAAUUGAGAUGUAAAUGAAUGAAUCUAGAGAUAACCAAUCCAAAUAGGAGUUCGACCGUGCGAAUACUUACCAUAGCAUAUCUAUCUGAUGAAAAAUGUCAAAUGGCCUAUAAUCACCUAGGAAGAUACACAAAAUGAUUAAUUAAGAUGCACCAAACAGGGGUUUAGUAAGGGGAAGAACAAGAGAAGGCUAUAGAGAUAGCCAACUUAAAACAAAAAAAGAAGAACAUUCAUUCCAGAAAGUAUCAAGUACUGCAGUGCUUAAAGGUCUGUGCUACAACCUUGACAAAGAAGGUGUCCCCGAUAGUAAAACUACGCGCUCGACCUUUCUUGCCACAUCAAGAACAGCUUGUAUCUGUAAAUAUACAUUAUGACAAUUAGCAUAUAGUAAAGGCCUCUGGAGUAAUUUACUGAAUCAGUAAUUGCUAGGAAAAAUACAAAUGAGAACAAUCUAGGUACCUCUUUAGGUUCUGAUUUUUUUUUCGUACAUCGUACAUGGUGGGAUUCAUCAACAAUCAAGAGAGCCCAUUCUCGAUCUAGCAUGCUCUUUUGCAAAUGGUGAAGCAUUGUAUAAGAAAUAACCACAAUUCUAGGCCAUUUCUUUAAAUUGGCAGGAUUGUUUUCGUGACCAAAAACUGGAUUCGGGAGGACAUGUAAGAAAUCAGUCAUGUUUUACAAGUAAUGUAUAAUGUGGAGAUGUAAAACAAUAAAACAAACAAGUAUUUGAUGUUACAAUGAGUACCAAAUGGUUGGUUUCUUAAAAUAAUAAUAAUAAUAAUAAUAAUAAUAAUAAUAAUAAUAAUUAAUAAAGCAUCAAUCCAACUUAACAAGAGACAACUUUAAAAUACUGAAAGUAUUUACCUAGAUGGAUGUCAGCAGGCAAACAAAAAGGAAGCCAACGCUCUAAUUCUUCUGCCCAUGAAUAACGCAAAAUAGCUGGGCAAACAACGAGUAUAGAGCCUUCACUCAUGAAGCAGCAUGCAAUAGCAAUAGCCUGGGAGAAAAAAUUUGAAAUUUAUACUUGCAGGCAAAUGUUUAAAAUGCAGGAGAUACACUUUGUUUUUUGUAUAAAGCUCUGUGUGUGUCUGCCUGAAUAAUUCAAAGCUAGAGACUAUUGGAGUAGUUUAGUACUCUAAUUCCCUACAACUACAUUAUAAUACCUCACUGCUGACUCAUUGCACCCAAUGGGCAUAUUAUCAUCAGUCAAAAUCCUAGCGCAGUCAAUAAGAAUUGAAAGGCAUAUAAUUUCACAUUACAUAAAACUACCUGUAGUGUCUUUCCAAGGCCCAUUUCGUCUGCAAUGAGACAUCGUCCACCCCUUUGCAAACCAAAUCUAACACCCUCAAGCUGGAAAGGCAAGAGUGAAUCAAAUAGCUUCUUUGGCAGCUUCCCAAUCAAUUCAUCAACCUUAUCAUCUGACACGUGUUCUGGCCUACAUGGUACCCACUUCCCUGUGAUAUACGACUGUGAAAGCCUCUCCACAACAUUGAAAGUAGUCCAAGGUAUCUCUUCAAUGUCAAUGCCCUUGUUGCUCCUCAAACAUCUCACGACUUGUUUGUACUCACUCAGCUUAUAAACACCGGCCUUUCCACCACCGUGAUUCUGCGUGUAGUGUGAUGGCAUCACCUAAUACAAAUGCAUAACACAAAAUCUUAAACACAAAACUCUUAACUACUUAGUACUUGUGAUUUUCGUGGAUUCGAGGAUGGAUGGUAUAGUACUUAGAAGUUAGAACUAAGCCUUUUCGCAACAAAAUAACCGAUAUUCAACAAAACUGAAACGCAAUGUCCUACAUGUAUGCUCAUUUCACAUAUACAUUUUCACAUUCCAAUCAAAGCAAGCUCAUAAUGACCACUAUACGACACAGUUGAAUAUUGUGAUUUUCAUGGUUCUAGGAUGGAGGGAAUAGUGCUUAAGAGUUAGAACUAAGCGGCCUUUUCGCAGCAAAAUCACUAAAAUUGAACAACACUGAAAUGCAAUUUCCACUCAUUUUCUUACCACCCAACAAAAAAAGAGACAUUUAAAUUUUCAUAUUCCAAUCAAAUCAAGCUCAUGAUGACCACUAUAAAAUCAACAAUGGCAGUAAUAAAGACUCAAACUUUAGGUCAAAUUCAGCAUCAAAAUUUCGCAAAACCCAGAAACCCACUUACAUUAGCCAAGCAAUCACUCAAUCUCCUCGAGCACUCUUCCUGCCCCGGAAAUGCGAACCCUUGAAUUCCGACCGGGGUGGCUGAGAAUGAGUCCGGUGAGCAGAUUUCGAGCCGGACCCGGAACAUCUGGUUCUCCACAACCGGGUUGGCCCGUGAAAUUUCGGAUCUUGGUUCGCCGGCGCAGCGAAUUGAGCUCGGGUUGAGGUCCGGAGAGAGCUUCCGGCACUUGAAAAGCGACCACGGGUCGGGUUGUUGGUGGAGGGCGGAGGCGGAGGAGGAUUCGGCCAAGGCUUUUCGUUUGGCUAAGGCUGCUAAUCGAUUCGCUUCGGCUCGCUUUCGCUGUUCUUCGGUGAUUUCCAUUUUUGGGGAUUUAGGGUUUUCAGAGUGUGUGUGUUUUUUCAAAAGGGGCUAAAUUGCGCGGGGAAUAGCAGUAACUGAACCAAGUGUAUUUAUUAUUUAAUAGUGUCCCUUUUCUUUUUUCUUUUUUUUCAAGUGUAUUUUUUUUUUGUUACAAAAAUUUUAGAUGAGAGUUUGGUUACGCUACAUCAUCAUCGGCAUGGCAAACUCAACCUUAAAGGACUGACAUUGGACACGUAUCUGUCACACCAGCCUGCAACCUCAACCUUAAAGGACUGACAUUUGACACGUAUCUGUCACAUCAGCCUCUAUGUAUAUAUUUCCACAAGAGAAUUUACAAAUCGCGAAAUGUUAUAGUCCUUUUUCUUUUCUCUUUCAAGUGUAUUCAAUGUAUUAAUACAAUGGAAAACAUUAUUCAUUAAGAAUCUAGCAAGUUCAUGAAUUACUUUGUUGUGUUCCCUUAGUCACAAGGAAACAAUAAGAAUACUACUGACACAUGUACUUAUUUAGAAUGAAAUUAAGAAGUAAAGGAAAUUAUUCUGGAAUAAGAGAAUUUCGACUUUUACAAGUUUCGAGUAAACAUUAUGAAAUCGAUCUUCUGCCAUCUUUCCAUUCUCCAACGAACGCAAUGCAAAACCAGUUAUUGAGAUUAUACAUGACACGACUCGAUUAAUGAUGAUUUGGAAAACUAAUUUCUUUCUCGCUUGAUGGUUUGCCAAGUUAUAAUCACUAUAAUGACGUAAAAUUUAGAGACGUGUAUGGUGUGAGUGACACUUGAGUUCGCACAUAACAAGAUUCACUUACUACAUUCUCAAACGACACAUAUCUAGUACUACAUUCUCAAACGACACAUAUCUAGUUAUUUUAAUGUAUGUCAGUGUUUAUAUACAGUAAUACAGAUUUGGUCUUUUUAGUCCUGAAUAGGUUGCCCUUGGUUAUAAUAAGAGUAGCAAUCGAAGAAGAUCUUGUAGUUCACAGCUCCGUAGUGUGUAAACUCCCAAAACCAAGCAAACCCAGAUGCCUCUCAUUCUUUCACAAUCAACCAAAUUACUUUAUUGCCCUUGUCCAAAACUAGGCAAGACCAACCACACACAUCUGCUAUAGUACCCAACCUUGCAAGGAAUGGGAUCAUCAGAGCUGGAACAUCUGGCUUGGAUCAUAUAUUCUCUUGCUUGCUCUGGUGGGCCAUCAAGACAUUGAAUUUUACAUCAUUAUUACUAUACCAUUCCCUUCAAAGGGUAUAAGGAAUCAAAAGAACAGCUAGCUGCACAGAAUAUGGUGAUUGGUGAAUCCAGGAUUCCAUUUCCAUUACCAAACUUGAACAACACUGCUGCAUAAAACUUUGACUACUAUAUGAAAGAUGUCUUUGUGCCAAACAUGGUUUAUAUGGAGAAAAAAGGCAAGCAUGGACUUAAAAAUGGAAACAACUUGUUAGUUCAGACUUAUGUGCAUGUGCCUGUGAAGGGAAAAUCCUUUGCUUCCCUAGCUCUUCAUAGAUGUGAAUGCAUCCAAACUGCAAGGCAUAAUUUCACUUUGCUUGCUGCGUAGUUUUCUGUUCAUGGCCCAAACCUGAUAUAAGCAGCAUCAAUCACAUUGAAAACCAGGAAACAGAUUCUGUCAUAGAAUCAGCAAUAGUUCAGGUUGUGAAGAACAAUAAUCUGAUGCUUCAAUGAUGCAGAAGAGAUAAGGUACUUGUAGCUUCCUGCCCUCUCUUAUGUUCAAAUUUUGCAGCUUCUGACAUAACGAAGCCAUUGAUUUCCAGAAUACAUUAGUAUACUUUGUUUCUUCCACAAAAAGUUGGUUCCUGCUUCUGCUUCUACAUAUUUUCAACAUCGGCAAAAUCUUGGAAAGCAGCAGCAAGGAUCAGAUCCCAUAAAAAAAAGAAGCCUUUUUUUUAUUUUUUUAUUUAUUGAAUAAAGAAGCCUUCAUUUCAACAAGCAGAGUUUUUAGGUAAUAAAGCUGCAUAUACUUUCAAUAACCUGAGUUAAAAAUAAAAUGUAAUAUUCUCUUGUAUAGUUGAUCCAUACAUGGAAUAGAGAACCAACAUAAUCACAUAAAUUAUCAAGAAACUUUCAAUCUUAUUGUAGAUAACAAGGGGCAAAACUGGUCAAGACGGCCGUUCUGGGGAAAUCAGUAUGGAUUAUGAUUCACAAGAGAGUGAGUUUGCAACCGCUGUCGCAGCAGCUGCAUUUGCCAUUCACUCAAUGGAACAAGCUGAAUUGCAGUACCAAAAAGAGAGGAGGAAAAGCCUUGAAACCACAAGGACCAAUACUUUGCCGGAUACAAAGAUAAGGCCUAGUUCUGGGGCAGCAACUAGGCGAUUAUCAAACAAAGGAGCAAAUAGUACUAGUGGUAAGUUUUCAGCUGCACAAAUUCAUUGUGUUCUUUAUUUUUUUUCUCUUUUAUAGUGAAAUGGUCUCGGAGAAUUAAACAGAUUGAAUUUAAUAGGUGGAGCUUCAAUGAAAAUGCCAAUGGGGCAGGACCAAAGAGCAUUGGACUUGGAGAGUGUUUUUCCAUCUAGGUAUGCAAAUCGUGGAAACUCUAUAAGGCCUUCAACUUCUGCAGACGGAAAUCAAAGCCGAAAAGGAAAUUCAAGAGGACAUGGCAAUGCAGUGGAAACCAAAGCAGAUGCUUGGGAGAAAGCUGAGAUGAAGAAGAUUCAGAAUCGGUAAGGGCUAGUAUAUAAACAUAAGGUUGUUUAACUAACAGUCUAAAGAAAUGAUCAGCUUCUUAUUUGUGUAAUGGCAAAUCCUUGAUAUGUAGGUAUGAAAAAGUGAAAGCUGCAAUUCUUGCUUGGGAAAAUGAAAAGAAGAUGCAAGUGAAAUUAAAGAUGGAGAGGAGAAAGGUACUGUUUUAAUUAAAUUAUGUUGUUCUUUAGUUUUAACUUUGUGAAGACAAAUGAUAGCAAUCAUUCGAAUUAUGCAUGCACUGUUAAAUUGCAGAGAGAAAUGGAGCAAAGAAGAGCAAUAAACAUGCAACACUACCAAGUUAAGCAAGAAAGGAUUGACCAGAUAGCAGGAGGAGCAAGGGCACAAGUGGAAGUGAAAAGAAGAAAUGAAGAGUCCAAGGUUAAAGAAAAGGCAAAAAGAAUUAGAGCAACUGGCAAAGUUCCUGUUACAUGCUUCUGCUUCACUUGUUACUAGUCAGAAGAUGGAAACACAAUAGUAAAUACUGAUAAGUUGUUUAAAUUGUGAAUGAUGCAAAUUAUGGAAGGAGAAAAACUAUGUAUUGUAUCUGUAUAUCAAACUGUAACUAUACACUUGUGGCAUCUCUAAACAAAAAACCCUAUAAUCACAUCAUUAUAUGAACCCCUUUGUGCAGCUACUCUUGAAUUAGCACAUGAAUAGACUUGUUUGUUUUGGUUAAUGGUGUAGAGAUGAAAGUAUUGAAAUGGACAACUUCCAUAUGAACAAGAGUAUAAUAAGUCAAAGAUGUUGAUUUAGAUUUGGAUAUGGAUAUCUAGAAAUGUCAAUAAGUUUUUUUCCUCAUUCUGAGUGCAAGGGCACUAUAGCUGGCAAAUGGAUGAAAUUACCUCCAUCACAUACAUCAGCUGAAAAUGACAAUCUAAAUCGAUUGCUGAUACACACGACAGGAAUAGAGAACGGAUCCAACCAGAGGCAAUAUUGUUUGUAAAAAUCAGAUCAUAGCUAGAAGGAAGGCAAUUGUCUUCGACCACAUAAGUAAUGCUUAAGCAAGACUGUAGUGGACCUGCUUACCCUUGUCAUUACGUGUUGGUACACGCCCACAAAAUCACCAUCGAUCACAACUUAACAAGCUUAUUCCUUCAACAAAAGCUUGAAGACAAGUAAGUAUGAGAACACAUUGUUCCUGGAGAUGGAGCAAAGUGACCCCAGCUGCCAUCCUUGCAGUCGACAUUAGACUAAAUAUGAUUACCCCAUGUUGUCUAGGCGGUAACCAUCUAGGCAAACACUAAACUAACAAUUAGGACAUACACUUAUGUUGUUAUAGAUUGAAUGGUAGCUAGUCAUCUAGCAGCAGAUAGUGAGAGACUACUGAUAUGUAAGGAGAGAAGAAGAAAGUAAUUGUAUUAUACUAUCAUUGUAUGUCAAACUAUAAGAGAACAGCUUAUUAGCUAACUGGAAACCACCUUAAAAAGAAACUGCAUCAAGUGCAAGAUUCUUAUGCUUUUCUUCGAAAGCAUGCAUCAGAUUCUUUUUCUUUUUCAGAAUAUCAAUGUUAUGGAAGAAAAGAUGAUGCAUAUAUAACAGUUAGGAAGAGAUACUUGAGACAGAUAAAUGUGAACUUUCAUAUAUGAUAAGAAUGAUGAAACUACAGUCAUCUGAACUCCCAGAAAUUAACUUGUAGGUGUAGUAUUUAUUUGUUGGGAUAUCUCAUUGCUCCAGUGGGCAAAACUGUUUAUAGCUGACACUUCAGUUGUAAACAGGACCAUACUAGUUUUGGUCCACACUUGUCACCAUGCGGUGCGAUAGGGUUCAUCUAGAUGUGUACUGCAGGAGUGCAGAUGCAGGGGAUUCCUCAUAUAAUGCCUGGUUUGAAUGAAGCUGACAACUCUUUGUACCAAAAUCACUUAUGCACAGAGCUAGCUAUAUUAUUGAUUCUAUACCAAAAUAGAACAAAACGAACUGUAAGAUCUGAUCAUGGAAUUACACUAUAUUAAAAAGUCAUGAUCUGCAAGUGGGGGAAAGAGAUAGAGGGGGUGUCAAAUAGUCAUUGACUCAAUAUAUCAACCAAAACAUAUCUCUCUGUCAAAGUUAAUGUGUCCAUAAGUUGAAAUCUUGAAUGAUGCUAUGAUUUAGAUCAACCAAACGUGAGGUUGUCUUCAAGUGAGGUGUAAAGGCAAUUUUCCUCAUACCUACACAAAAUAUGGAGCAUUUUUUCUUAUUAAUAUUUUUCUUGUAAAUAGAUGAUUAUGUGAGUAGAAAUCAUGUCGGUCGCCCUACUAGCUAACUCGAUUUAUCAAUAAGAAAAAUCAGUACUGUUAUUAUCAAGAGAAAAAUCAGUACUGUGACAUGCAUAUGAGAAUUUUGCAGAAAAUGAAAUUAUCAAGAUCCUUGAAUUGAUAUGUAGGUGUUGGGAAAGCAAUGGGGAAGGUUUUCCAUAGAGCCAAUGCAUAUCCAAUUUCCUCUCCCCAGCUUGGCAUGUUUUGGCUACCACAUGUUUUGUGUAAAAUCUCCAUCACAGCAAUAUAUUGUGACACUGACAACACAAAACAAUUAAUGAAAAGGGACCAUAAGACAAAGAAAUUAUUUCUAGGAGAGCCCAAAAUCAAUUCCAAACUCUCAUUCAUAGUUUCAAUGAGUGAGUACAGUUAUAUAUAUACUGAAAAUAUAGUUCAGUGUUGGAAUAAUCUAAGCGAGAAAAGAACAAGUCGAAGAAGCUGAAGAGAGGAAUAGAUCCUCUUGAUCCUGUCAACUAUAUAAUAUGCAGCAGCAGCAUCAGCAUCAGAACAACCCCAGCAUCACUCAUCUAGUCCCCUUGUAAGCACCAUAUUUACUCAUCAUAUAUAUAAUGCAUGUAUACCUUUCAUCAUCAGCUUAGUUCGAUUUACUAUACUUUUUUCUUCGUUUUGUUUAUGGAGUUUGGAAUCUGGAUCAUCGAUCCGAGAGAGACCCAGCUUUGUAUUUCCAUUACUUCAUUUUCUUUCUUUCUUCUUCUUCUUCUUCUUCAAGAGAGAUCAACCAUAUGUAAUGAACUAAUGAUCAUGAAACCACAAGAAUUAAGAACCAGUAAUUCUCCUAGCUAGUUUCCAUUUAUGCAAUUCAACUUGGUUUUCUUCUUUGCUGCUACAUACUACAGAAACAGUUUCUUUUUCAUUGUUUCUACUUCUAGACAUUCUUCUCAGACUAUCUGAAAUAAUUCAGACUAAUCAUUGCAAGGACAGGUCUGAUUAUGACGUUACUGAGCUAAAAUUGGAAAACGGUCAUUUGGCAAUUCAUGGGCUUGGUGGGAUUGUUCCCACUGCUCCGGCAAAGCCCACUUGGAGCAAUAGGGCUUGUGACACACUGGAAUCAAUAGUCCAUCAAGCUACAUGCCACAAACUACCUGAAACAAAUUUAAGCUCAAUGGUUGCAUCCUCCGGUGGAACAUGGACUGACGAUUCCAGCCAGCAGCCGUGGGCAAACGGUUGGAUCAGGAAACGUACCCGGUCGGACUCCGACUACCAUGGGAAAAAUGUUAGUAGUACUAGUACUACUAGCAAUGUUCAUGAAGAACAGACCGAGUACCAAAUGGACAAUGAUACUACUCUAAACACAUGGACUUCUUUUGAAUCGGCUAAGACCAAAAGCAAUGACGACGAUUCCACUUGUCAUGAGGGGUUGGUGAGUGGUAACAUAUAAUUUUGUAUUCAUUAUCAAAGUUUAUACUUCAAAUAUGUAUCGUAUUUACGGAUCAUCAAAAUCUCUAAAUUAUGUCCCAUUUUAAUUAGGAAAACCAAGAUGUGGAACGAGAGACCACAAAAGGGCAUGAAUCAAGCCGCUCAAGAUCACGACCACGGCGAGUUGCUGCCAUUCAUAAUCAGUCAGAGAGGGUAUAGAUCUUUCUUUCUAGCUAUACCAUGCUAUUUAUAACUAGGCAUCCAACAAGAAAGUAUGUUUAACAUAGUGAUGCAAAUUAAAAUGGUUUUUUUUUUGUAGAAACGAAGAGAUCGGAUCAAUCAGAAAAUGAAAGCUCUACAGAGGUUGGUACCAAAUGCCAAUAAGGUGAGAGAUGCAUUUUGAGAAUUAGCACAAUUCCAUUUAGACAUAAUUUGUGUGGUUUUUGAUUCUAGCUACUUGCUACAAUAUUACAGACUGAUAAAGCUUCAAUGCUUGACGAGGUGAUAAGAUACUUGGAGUUACUCCAAGCACAAGUUCAAAUGAUGAAUAGCAUGAGAAAUGGUAUGCAGCCCCAUAUGAAUAUGAUGAUGCCUUUAGGAAUGCAGCAGCAGCAGCAACAGCAGCAUCAAAUGUCAAUCCUAGCGCGCAUGGGAAUGACUCCGGUUGUUCCUGGCGCGCUAGGAAUGGGAAUGGGAAUGGGAAUGCUCAAUGUAAGCAACAUGGCAAGAAUGGCUCCUCAUCAAUCUCUACAGCAGCAGCUCAUUCAUCCUACUCCUGCAUCAUUUCUUCCACCCUUUAUGGUGCCCCAACUGAUGCCACCAAAGCCUGAUCCUGCCACAAAUGCUAAUUCAGACUCUUUUGCUAAUCCAUAUUGUACCUUCCUAGCACAAGUAAGUUUGAUAACUAAACAUGGUUUUAGAAAAAUUAGAUUAAAGACUGACUGCCAGAAUAGCCUAAAAACCGCUUAAGUGAACAAGAUUCGAUAAACUUGGGGAUACCGAUGAAUGUUUAGGGUUUGGGAUUUUUGAUUUUUAACCUGAAUCUUGAUUGAUUUUGCAGCAGCAAUCAAUGAAUAUCGACCUGUUCAACAAGAUGGCAGCAGUGUUCCGUCAACAAGUCAAUCAUCAAUCGGCAGCAAGCAGCCCAUCACAGUCGAAACAUUAAGAAGAAGAAGAAGUGAUUGCCUUGGCCUAGUUGGUACAAGCUGUGACUUUGAAAAAUAUCUCUGUUGCAAGCCAUUAUUAUUAAGUUUUCCAUAUUGUAUUUUAUUUUCUCUGCAUAUAUUUCACAAAUGUGGAUUUCGUUACUCUUGCUAAAUGGAUCAUCAAAAUACCUAGCUAUAACUACAUUUCUGUCGCACGCCAACAUUCGCAACAUGUACGAGUCAUACUAUUUUCGGAUGACUCUAGCUCCUAAUAUCCAAUAAUAUUAGCAGAGAUUAUAAGUUUAGACUACCCGAAAUGAAUCAAAGAGUAAAAUUGAGAUAUUUUUAUCGCUGAAAUGAGCAGUAUGGAUGCGGAAAUGACAAGCAAAUAAGGCUAAUAAGCAACCACAGCCAAAUACAAUCUUUCUGUAAAAAUGGCAAUGGUAAUACCACUAAUCAUAAUAUAGGGAGGAAGGAAAGAGUCACUGUUAUCAAGAAUCCAGCUUUGCAACUGUUCUUUCACAAGCACAGAUCCGGUCUUCCAUAAGCAAAAACUAAAUCAACAAAACCAAUAAAUAUAUAGAGAAUAUGAUAAUACACUUCACCCUUUGGGGAAAGCAAUAGAUAGCAGUCACAACUCCUUCAGUUUUCAUCCAUCUAUGCCUCUGCAGCUUCACAAAAUCUUGCUCCUAUCCCAUAUGAACUCCAAAACUACUUCGUUCAUCACUUUUUUUUUUCUUUUCUUUUUUCUUUACAAACAUGUACAGAAUAAGCUAUUAUGUAUUUGAUUAUAUAAAUCAACAUGCACCUGUCUUUGCCGCUGGUCUGGUGUCCUGAAGAGAGAUCACAGUCUCAAAAGCACCAACCAAGGCCUUGACUUUACUCUUCCUAGUUUCGACAAGCUUGAUAGCUGUCUCUUCAAUCACAUUGUUCAACAAUUUCUGAUCAUCUUUCUUUCCUUUUACAUCUUGGUGUCUCAAAACCACUUUCUCAGAAUUGCUUCGUAUGCCAUUCGAAAGAUCAACACUAUCCCCCUUCCUCCUUAAGACCUUCCUUGGAGAAACUUCAACUUUUUCUUGGUUUCUCAGACCAACUUUCACGGAUUUGAGUUUAGCACCAUUUGUUUGAUUGUCAUCAACUUCCAUGCUCCCAGUGAUUGCCCUUUUGACAGAAACACCAUUUGGCUGGCGAUCACCAAGUUCCUUUUUUAGAAUGCUGACCCUUUUGAUACCAGCCCCAUUUGUCUGAUCAUCAACUUUCUUCUUCCCAAUGAUUUCCCUUUUGAUAGCAACACCAUUUGAUUGGCGAUCACCAACUUCCUUCCUCACAAUGCUUCCCCUUUUGAUGAUACCAGCAGCAUUUGACUGUCUGUCAUCAACUUCCUUUCUCACAUUGCUUCCCCUUUUGAUGAUAGCAGCACCAGUUGACUCACUGUCAUCAACGUCCUUUUUUCCAAUGCUUCCACUUGUGAUACUGUCUUUACUAUUUUGAACCUCCAGAGCUGAACUUGCUCGCCUGAAUUUGAGUCUCCUUGGAGUAAUGUUCUCAGGCUGAAGUUCAAUCACCCUACCUCUCCGAAAUGACAGCUUUCGGGAUACACUGUUUUGGUUUCCACAGCCAACAAUUGCAGACCUCCUAGGUGUAGUCUUGUGCUGCACCUUUGACUUUCCUAUUGGCUCCACAGUUUUACUUGUACCAUGCUGAGAAUUGGCACCAUUUAAUUUAUCGUGAGUGGACUUGGGUAAAGAAAUGGACAUGGAUGAUGAGGAUAACGAUGGAGAUAAAGAUUCUUGAGUACCAUGUCGAGUACACCUCAAACCCUUGUUAUCCUGAUCUAGAGGAGCAGCUGAUAGACAAUGAGCUACAUCAACACGUUUCAAGUGUUUCUUCUCAAAGGAUGGAAAAGAUCCAAUUCUACCAAUUCCCUUCCUUGCACGCUCCAAGGUAUUGUUUUUGCUUUUGCCUUCAACAGAUACAGGUGACAAUGGCGAUGGCUUAGGAACACUGACACCAUCAGGAGUUGAGUCCACAGUAUUAUUCUCAGUACUUGAUUCAAUGACAUACAAAAUCUUUUCUGGCAUAUCCUUGUCACUUGGUGGCUCAGGUUCAACUUUUCCAGGAUCAUUUGGAUCUUUCACAUGAGAGAAGCCCUUAAGGUUAUAAGAGCGUCCGGGAUUCACGUUGGAGUCUCUCUUAUUGAAGUGCUUGGAAGACAAAGAAACAGUUUGCAUCCCCAUUGUCUGUUUUUCACCCGAUAGAGAAGCCCUUCUAUUAUGGUUUCUGAUACUUCUAUUUCCUCCACUGCUUGAACUGUCUGCUGCUUCCUUGCUCUUUCUGGUUCCAAUGUUUCCUUUAUGAUGUGAACCUUGCUCUACCAUAGAAACAAAGGAAGGCAUUUCAUUUUUUGAAGAACCAGUAUCUUUCUUUUUCACUGAUAUAGCUUUCUUCUCCAUAACAGCAGAGUCAUUGAGUUUCCAAGUUUCAGAAUCUUGAGAAGGCUUAGAACUGUUUCUUGAUACCACUUUAGAAUUCAUCAUGCUGUGCACUGAUCCUGUGAGAGAAGAUGGCUCUGUUAGUUCAGGUUGUUCCUCCUCUAAAUCCAUGGAGUCUUCCAUAGUAACAUCAAUCUCUUUCUCCAAAGAAACAUUUAUUUUCUCUGUCACUAAUACAACAUUUUUCUCUGUGACAAAAGACUUGUUAAGUAUCUGGGCUUCAGAAUCUGGAGAAGGCUCAUGACUGGCCGUGGAUUUCACCUUAGAAGAUGGUUCAAAUUGCCGACGCUUCACCCUUGAAUGAAUGGAAUCUUCCAUAGGAACAUCAACUUCCUUAAAAGAUGAAACCUUUUUCAGAGUUCCUUUCUUUGUCACUGAUAUGACCCUUUUCUCCGUGACAAAAGAAUCUGGAGAAGGCUUAGAGUUGGUUGUGAAUGUCCUUUUCCUCUCAGCUUUAGGAGAUGCUUCCAAAUUUUCAUCCUUUCCAUACUUGCAAUAAUCAUGGCAGGAUCCCAGCGAAGCUCUGAGAUAACGGGAUUGGAUACUUCUAGCAAUAGAUCUCCUUCUGACAUCAGCAUCAUUGGCCUCUAUUCCCGCCGGGAUCACUAUGAUAGAGUUUCUUUUGAUGUCACCACCCUCGGGCUCCAUUUCCUGUGGGGUACAUGCAAUAGAGUUCCUUCUCAGAUCGCCGGAGUCCAUUUCAUGUAGGAUCACUGGAAUAGAAUUAGCUUGUAUAUCAUCACCAUCAAGCUCUAUUUCCUGCAUAGUCUCAGGGAUAGAGUUCCUUCCUACAUCACUGCCUUCGAGCUCCAUUUCCUGUGGAGUCACUGGGAUGACAUCAUUGGACUCAUCAACAUUAGACUCCAACUCCUGCGGGAUCACUGGGAUUGAGUCAGUGUUAAUAUCAUCAGACUCAUCACCCUUAGACUCCACCUCCUGUGGGAUCAUUGGAAUUCUGGAAUCAUCACCAUCCGACACUGUUUCCUGUGGGAUAACUGGUAUAGACUUCCUCCCGAUUUCAUCACCAUUUGGUUCUAUUGCCUGUUGGAUCACUGGGAUAGAGUUGUUAAUGAUAUCACCACCCUUUGAUUCCAUUUCCUGUGGAACUAGUGCAAUAGAAUGCCUUCUAAUGUGACUGACAGUGGGUUCUUUUUCUUGUGGAAUCACUGAGAUAGAGUUCCUUCUGCCAUCCUCACAAAUAACCUUCAAGUCUUCUAGGAUCACUGGGAUACCGAUAUUCUCAACUUCCAUUAUGAAGAAUAUGACAUUGCAUACUGACAACCCUGUAGAAGAACAAAAAUUCCCAAAAGAGAGUGUGAGUAGAGACUAUGAAACCGCAAAGCUACACAAUAUCAUAUCAACACCUUCCCUAUUGAAUUCGAAGUACUAAGAAAAAUUGAAGCAGAAUGUGAAGGUCUUAAAGCUUCACAAAGAUGUAAUCUCCUACAUAAGACAUGAAUCACAAAAUUCUACAAAGAUUUACUUGAAAUAAUUUCCUUACUUCAUGCAACAUGUUGAAAGACCAGUAGUCAAAGUAUCAAUUUCUAACAAAGUGACCUCAUCUGAAAAGGUUUACCUUAUAAGAUUUCUUUACAAGGUAUAUUUGUUCAAAACCAGAAAAACCAUAUGAAAAGAAAUAAUCACAACAAAGAAUUCAAACAAUGAACAAAACCAGACCAAAAGAUGCAACGAAUGAAACAAAGAUUCUCUGCAUUACAAACACCAAUGCAAUACAAUAGAACAGAUCCUUCAUAAACAACUUUGCAAUUCCCUAACUCAACAACUAGUUGAGAAAUAUUAAUCCACAUCCAGGCCCAGAAAGAAAAAGACAACAUAUCUCAUCAACCAUUAUCAACUGAACAAGGACCCUUUUUCAAAACUUAACAGAAAUCCUAUCGUGUUUGUUCAUCAAUACCAUAAUAAACUGUGCAAUAUACAUGUAUGAAUCAGCUGUUCAUUGAUACCAUCACAAAACAUCAAUCAUUUUUCCAAAACACACUAAAGAUGAUUCAUUUCAUACAGAAAUGACCACAAAGGUCAUUCUUUGACAUCAACCAUGUAAUCAUAAGCAUAAAACAGAUAAAACCCAAUUGAAAUUCGUCAAUAAUUAAAAAAGCUGACAUUGUAAGAAAAGGAAAAAAGGAUCACCAAGAUCAUACCUUAUUCUUGUCUCUCACCCCAACCCAAGAAGAGAAGAACCCUAGAAGGGGGAUGUAUUGGUUGCUUCAGAAAGAGUGGUGAUUUAUUAUGGGAAUAACAGCAAACGCGUUUGUUGCAACCAAAUUAUACCCAAAAAGACAUUUAUCAAAAACCUCUUUUUGCCGCGGAGAGAGAAAGUUCUAGAGAGAGAGAAUCUUUGAGCUCUAGAUAGAGGGACAACAAUCUCUGUGAAUAUGAUGUGUGAUUCCACGACAAAAACGCGCCAAUUAUAUAGGCCGUCUCUCCAUCAUAGUAGUUUAUACUCUUCGAUUUUUGCUUUUGUUUAUUUUCUUGCCCAGAAUUACCAUAGAAUAUUAGUGCGUAGAAUAUAUACCAAAUUACCAAUGAAUCCUAUGUAUAUGCUACAUUUGUGAAUGCCAAACCAUAUUCAUUUCGAUUUCAAAAAAAAAAAUCAUAUUCAUUUCAAAAUUAUACGAAUAUGCAAUGCACAUGCAUAUGAAUUAUUUUUCCAUAUAUUUGGAAUCAAUUACGCACGAAGAAUAAUCAUUUUAUGCAUAGUUGCAUACCAUGAGAAAGUAAGAACAUGAAAUCUAAGGGGUACGUCCGUACGUGUGUGUGUGCAUAUAUAAACUAAUUAAUAUUGACAUACCCAGUUUGGCAGUUUCAAGUAGAAAAGAUAGAGGUCCCUGGAGUCCAGGAAGAAACUUGACCAGGCUAGGGAGCAGCGAGAGAGUGCAGCUGUGAAACAAGUUAGACUAGAACUAGAACAGCUUCACCGUCUUCGAUUUAGCUUUAGUCCUUUUUGGUAAUUUCAUUUAAAGGGUGGACCCCUAAACCCGGCUCAGCCCACUAUAUCAUGACCGCCUAGGCCCGCGUCGUCUCUGCCUAGCCCGCAAAAGGCCCAAUUAGCACUAAUUAUUUUUUUUUUUUUUUGGCUGAAUGGCUAUUGGCGAAUGGCCACUUUGAGUCUCUCUGUUUUCCAGAGCAGCAAUGCAGGCGUCAACAACAUUGGCUUCGAAGCUGCUUACUAAUUAGUAAUUACUAGAGAUUCUGGGAAGCUUAUAAUUGUCUUCAUUUCUUCGUAUCGGUGUUCAUGGAGCGCCAUGUAUGUCCUCAUAUUAAACGGACUAGCCUUUUAUCUGUACAUAUUUGCACGGAAUCAUAAUCACAAUCAACUAAAGAUAAGUUUACCCUAUUGUACAGUUAUUCGUCUUACUAAUCAGUAGUUUUUAUGAUUAUUUAUUUAUUUAAUUUGUUUUGAUUUGUAUUUUGUUUUUACUAUAACAACCCUUAGUUUUUAUUUGUGUUAGUUGAUUCAUUAAGGAUAAUUAUGAAAGUUCACAAUUUGGUAAAGCUUUUAAGGGCCGGCUUUAUAGUAGUAGAGAUAUAUAUCCUGCAACAUUCCUUCUUGCUCUCUCAUCUCCUUCCUCUUCUCACUAACUAAUGAGCUCAGCUUACCAGAAGAUCCACAAGAUCGCAAUAGUCCAGCCAACCACCCACGAAACCGGCCAUGCCAAGAGCCUAGCUCUUCCACACUAAGUACUCUUCGAUCCCAUCUCGAUGUGUAUUAUUACUGUAUAAUGUACAGAACGUCAGACAUUGCUGAAACUAGGAGUUUGGUAGUGCAUGAUUGAUAUUGAAAGCAAGGCCAUGAUUAUGAUUCAUUGUCGAGCUUGGAUGGCUUAGAGCCUUAGAAGGUUAAGUACUUAUGGGGUAUAUCUACUCCAUGUAAUUUAACUUGCAAGCUUUACAUGCAUAAAGACCAAUCGUAUCGAUCAUUGCUUAUUUGCUAGCUAGGUAGGAUAUAUAUUGAAUGGUAAAUGACAUUUAACUCUACUUGCAGACUUAGAAUGCACACUGAUAAUAGAUAUUUACCCAAAUAGUGAAUCAUUUCCAUCAUUCCAUGCCAACUGGUUUCUUACUCGAAUGGAUUCAGUUUUACCUACUAAUAUAUGUGUAAAAGAGUGAGAUCGAAGAAAAGGAAAUGAAAUGAAAGAGGAACGUACUGUCUGCAUGUACUCGACUCAAUGACCACAUUUGGAAGUCAAAUGAAAAUGAGGGAACUGUGUUGAACAAAUUAACAUGUUUACUGUUUCAUGAUUGCUCAUGUUCCCCUAGCUUCAAGAAGUGCUUUUAGAGGAGACAAAUAAUCUAAGCUACGCAUUGAUUCAUUAUGUCACGUCUGUCUGUUUCCAAACUUGCAAAACCCUCUUGAUCUCCAACAUCAUUAUGAACCAAAAUAUAUAUCCAUAUAUAACUCCAAAAUCUUUGAGCAAUCUUCAACAACAAAAUACAAAGGGGAAAUUAUUGAUGCAAAAAGCAUGAUCCCGACUUAUCUUUAUAAGAAGAAAUCUUUGCAAUUAUCUUAUUAAUAAAUAUGCUUCAACUCAAUUUAUACCUGUUCAUGAUUAUCAUCUUUGUUUAUAAGGUUACUGCAUGCAUGCUUUGGUAUUACGCCAUGCAUUAAUCUCACAAUAAUAGGUGGUUUUUUUUUUUUUUUUUUAAGGGUUUUNNNNNNNNNNNNNNNNNNNNAAGCUCAGCCCUACGCCCGGUUCCAGUUAUUUUAUUGAAAAAAAAAGAAACAAAAGAGUACAUAAAGGGAGGGGGACAUAAACCAAAACCUCUCUAAAAAAAAGAAGAACAACACAAAAACCUAUGAUCUACUAAGGACAAAGAACAACGAAGAACAAAUUCGUUGAUGCUGCUGCCUAAUGAAUUACAAAUCAAAAAACCAAUAUAAGAUCAGAAACUAAAACAAUAGUUAGGAAAGCCUGUUAAAUCACAUGAAUAAGCUGUAAUUGCACAAGGUGGACAUGAAUCCCACCAAUGAACUCCCGCAUUAUCCGCACCAAAAUUUGCUAAGCAGUCGGCAACGCUGUUACUCUCCCGAUAAAUAUGAGAUACUUUAACAGUCAUAGUAGUAAGAAUAGUCCGACAGUUAAACCAUUCAGUAGUGAAACGCCAAGGAACAUCUACUUGAAAUGAAGAAAGAAAAUGAAUCACUAAAGUAGAAUCACUAAAGUAGAAUCACUUUCAAUCCAAAGAAAAUAUCAACCUCUCUGCGAAGCCAUUUGAAUGGCGUGAAUGACCGCCUGCAGCUCAGCUUCGAAUGCAUUAGCAAUGCCAAGAUUUCCUGAAAACAACCUAAAACCUGACCCAAAUGAUCUCGAAAAAUGCCACCAAAACCUGCCAGACCAGGAGAGCCACGAGCCGCACCAUCAGUGUUAAGCUUGACUUGAUAAAUAGAGGGAACAUGCCACAUAACUUCAACAAUUUUCGGAGCUUUAGAUGGCCUACCCUUAAUACCAAUGCGAUGUAAAAUGCAAAGCUCACCUACAGUAUUCUUCAUUGUAGCCCUUACUCAAAAAAUUAAUCUCAUGAAGUUGCAUCUUAAUAGAAUGGAGUAAGGAACCUGACAAUAUGAUUAACUCUUGAAAGCGAAGAGCAUUCCUUGCAUGCCAAAUAGCAUAAAAACCAGCUCCAAUCAUUCCCCACCAUAACAAAGUCAACUAAGAGCUAUAACCAUGACGUACUGGGUAGGUAAAGAAAGAAAUAAUAUUAUUGAAGACACCCCGAACCUGAAACAAAUCUAAAAGAUUCCCCCAGAUAUUAGUUGCAAAAGAACAAUGCAAAAAGAGGUGCUCUGCAGUCUCAACAGUAUUAUGACAGAGGGAGCAAACUGAAGACAAAUGGCAACCACGAAGUUGUCGAAUAUCAUCAGUAAGUAACUUUCCAUGCAUGUAUUUCCACAAAACUACUGAGUUCCUAGCACGAAAACAUGAAUGCCAAACAAACCGAGCCCAAGGAACUCUAGGAAGAUGAGGACGUUUUAAAUCAUAAGCAAGAGCUACUGUUAGCUUACCAUCAUUUGCAGACUUCCAAACCAACCUGUCCACGAAACCAUCUUUGAAAGGGAGAGUAAUCUUGAUGAUAUCUUCCCAAAAAGGCGCACACAAUGACUGUAAGUUAAUGGGACAAACCCAGCAACCAUUAUUAAUAAAAUUCGACAACUUCAAUUGUAGAGUAUUAGCUACUGAAACUGGAAUAUUCAAGCGCUCAAUGAUUGAAGAACCCAACCAAUUAUGAUGCCAGAAGUCAAGAGUUGUAUUAGAGCCUAUAAUCUAUUGUGAACCAUCCAAAAUAUCUUGGAAGAGAGGACGAAAACCAGGCCAGAUAGAAGAACGCUUGUAGUAAGUGCAUAAUAAUAUAGGUGAAUAAUAUAGGUGGUUAGGAUACCAAAAAUAAGAGAGUUUCUGCUCUAGAUAAAAGAUUAUAUCCAAUCACCAUUCAAUCGAGGAAAAAAACUACUAUUUUCUUUUAGAUCUGCUUGCUUAAACAAAGUUCCCUCUACUAUAUAAUAUAUAUAUAUAUGCCCUCGUCACCAACACCAUACCAAACUUUCUCACAUGCUUCUUAAUUAUUUCUUGUAUUUCAAUUAAUCUACUAAAUCAACCAGAUCAUAGCUCGCCGAUAAUUAACUAACAUUCUUUGUUCAUCGAGGAAAAACUUUGAAUUUCUUUUGAAAAGAUAUAUCCCCAUCUCGCCGACAAUCAAAUAACAUUCUUUGUUCAUCGAGGAAAAACUUCCAAUUUUUUUUAGAAAGAUAUAUCCCCAUCUGCUUGCUUAAACAAAGUUCCUGCUAUAAAAGCCCUCAUCACCAACACCAAACUUUCCCCACACCCCCAUCAAAUCAAACUCCACACAACCAAUAGAAAACCCAUAGACAGAACAAUGGUUUCUGAGAGGUACCAAUGCAAAAGUGUAUGUGUAAUUGGGGCUGGACCGUCGGGCCUUGUUGCUGCAAGAGAGCUGAGGAAAGAAGGUCACAGAGUGGUGGUGUUGGAACAAAACCAUGAUGUAGGAGGUCAAUGGCUGUAUGACCCAAAUGUGGAGGGAGAGGACCCUUUAGGAAGGAACACUACUAGUCCUACUACUAGUACUAAUUCUCAACAUCUCAAAGUCCACAGUAGUCUUUAUACCUCUUUAAGGCUUACAUCCCCUAGAGAGAUCAUGGGGUUCACUGAUUUUCCAUUUUCAGUUAAGAAGGGUAGAGACAUGAGAAGGUUUCCUGGGCAUAGGGAACUUCUUUUGUACCUUCAAGACUUCUGUGACUGGUUUGGGUUAAGGGAUUUGAUUAGGUUCAAUACUAGGGUGGCUUAUGUGGGAAUGCUGCAGGAUCAUGUAACGGGAUGCCAAGAUUUGAAAUGGCUCGUUAAGAGUGUGCAGAAGAAGACCCAGAUUGUGAUGGAAGAGGUGUUUGAUUCUGUGGUUGUUGCCACUGGCCAUUACUCUCAGCCUAGAUUGCCUUCCAUUAAAGGUACACUAAAUUCCUAUGAAUUUCUUUAUUUAUUAGUAUGAAACUUUGUUUUCGAUCGAUCUCUCCUUUCUUCUUUUCAAUCUUGUUGAUCGUGUUUAGGAAUGGAUUCAUGGAAGAGGAAGCAAAUGCACAGUCACAUUUACAGGGAUUCCAAGCCUUUCCGCAAUGAGGUAAUUGACCGGCAUGUAUUUGAUGUAUUAGAGUUUUUCACAAGUUCAUGUUUUUGACGUUCAAUAUUAAUUUCUGGUUCAAGGUUGUGGUUGUGGUUGGAACUUCACUAAGUGGGCAAGACAUAUCAAUGGAGCUAGUAGAAGUGGCAAAGGCAGUGUACCUCAGCGCAAGAUCCAUGAACAAAAUCUCUGAGGGCUUAUCAAAGGUCAUUUCCAAGCAUGAUACUUUGGAUCUUCGUCCACAGGUACUAACAAUCACAUCGAUCUCAUGGUUACACCGAAAGAGAAGGAAACCUCUAAGCUGGUUUAGUCCCAACUUAAUUUUCUUCCCUUUUCACCAUAAGUUUAUUACAUGUGUGAUGUUAGUGAUCACUUUUAACUGCACAAUUCAUAUGCAGAUAGAGUCCCUUCAAGAAGAUGGAAAGGUAUUGUUUGUGGAUGGUUCUUGGGUAAUUGCAGACACUAUCAUCUACUGCACAGGGUAAAGUUCCAUUCCAAAACUAUUUUGGUACUGUUUAGAAGACACAAUUAUAGAAACUAAAUGAUUGCUUAGGAAGCAAGCUAUCAAUGCCCUAAACUGUACCAACUUGACCUUGACUGGGAGAUUUUCUCGAUCUGGGUCCUUGAUAUGAAAAAUCCAGUGACUUCUAAGUGAGUUGUGACUUGUGUGUGGACCUUUGUGCAGGUAUUCAUACACAUUCCCAUUCCUUGACACCAAAGGAAUAGUAGCUAUUGAUGAUGACAGGGUGGGUCCUUUGUAUGAGCACACCUUCCCUCCCUCACUUGCUCCUUCUUUAUCUUUUAUUGGCAUUCCUAGAAAGGUAAAACUAAAAUUGACACAUCCCAAUUUGUUUUCUUCUUUUUCUUUGGCCACAACAUAUAUAGCUUUCAUGUUCAUCAUAUAUAUGUUCCAUCCAGAUCAUAGGGUUCCCUUUCUUUGAGUCACAAGCAAAAUGGAUAGCUCAACUGCUCUCCGGAAAAAGAACAUUGCCAUCAUGGGAGGAAAUGAUGCAGUCCAUUAAGGACUUCUACCACUCAAGGGAUGUUGCUGGCAUCCCAAAGUAUCAGACUCAUGAUAUUGCAGAGUUUGAGGUAAAAAUGUUGGUUACCCCUGAUAGUGAAAACUGAUAUUUACAGACUAUUUUUAAAAAUCUUUUAUACUUAAUUACCCACCGCAAUUCACGUUGCUUGCAUUCUAAGCUAUCUGUCUAGUAUCCUCUAAAAAAAAGCUAUCUCUAGUAGGCCUAAAUCGUUUUAUUGUUCUUGCAGUAUUGUGACAAAUAUGGAGAUCAUGUUGGGUUCCCACAUUUAGAGGAAUGGAGGAAAGAGCUUUGUCUUUCUGCCUUGAGAAAUUCCGAGACCAACUUAGAAACAUAUAGAGAUUCGCUGGAUGAUCAUGACUUGCUUCAAGAGGCUCUUCAGAGUCCACAUUUCACUCAACAAGAACAAGGAGCUCAAGAUUUUCCUCUGUAAAAAGCUAAAUUAUUCUUGGUUGUUUAAAUAUAUUACAUGUAUUUGUUGUUAUUUUGUUGAAACUUGAGAGGAAUUACUAUUAAAUAAACAGUAAUGACACAAGAAAAUAGCUUCUGAACAUUUGUGUUUGUAAGAAUAUCCUUUUUUGUUUACUCUAGUUGAAGUGACAAGAUUUUUUUUUCCCCCCAUAUGAAUUGUAACUAAAAAUGAAACCUUCUACAAAUGUUUGAUAAAUUUGACUGGAGAAAAAGAACUCUCAUAGUCCUACUAUAUCAGUUUGCCAUAAACACUACAAUGAAUAUAUCCUUCUGCAAAGAGGGGACUCUCAUGCAUGAAUGUCAGGGCUUACUUUCUGUGAGUUCUAUCCACCCCAGCUUAUAUACCCACCCACAUGUAUGAACUCUGAAGGUUUGGAGGACAUGUACAAAAACCAACCUAACAAGUGACACAAACCUCCCAGAAGAGCAUUAAUAAGAGACUAUUUGCCUUUCAUUUCCUAUACCUUGCUACCCAGAUUUCUCUGCCCUCUACGCCCCCUGGUUACCUCCCCCCAAUCAAUUAGGCUUCUCCUCUCCCUUUCCAAUUGCCGUUUAACACCAAUGUGAUUCAAUGGUGAUGCGGCAGUACUCUCUUUUACAUUGGAAGCAGAAAUGGUGCACUUCCUCCUCCCCCUUGUCAACCCAAAUUUAGCUGCAUAUCUUACUGAUCUUGUUUCGGAGCAAUCAGCAGAAGCCUCAAUUAGUGUUCCUAUGAUCUGAAGAUCCUCACUCACCUCACAUCUUGACAAAGAUUCAAGGCCCGGGAGAACUUCCUUUUGGAAGUUCUUCGUCCACUGCAUUCCUUUUCUUGGUCGACCCUUUUUUGGCUGACUUUGUGAUGAAGCUGUCACGAUCACUUCCUCUUUGUAGUCAUUACCUCUACAGCAGCAGCUCUCUUCCACCUUUUUCUCUGGUAGCAUCAAUGUCAUGGCCUCAAAGUAGUCCAUUCCAUCAGGUAGAACCACCUGAUUAUCAUCACAGCCCACCUUGUGUUCUAGACUGCCUAAAACUGAAGACGCUAAACCAGCAAACCACUUUAGGGAAUUAAAUAAAGUUUUAGUUGGUUUACCGGUGGUCCUCUCAGAACAAGUAUGACACACGGAUGAUGAAAUGGAAACCAAACAUUCUGCUGCAGUCCUGAACAUUUCCUCUUCCAGAUGCACUUCAUGUCCUGACAAUUGAACAGGUGUGCCAAUUUGUUUUUCAGUAGAGCCCAUUGGCUGUGAACACUCUUUGGUUUCCAGAUCGUCAUGUCCUGACAAUGGCAAAGGUGUCCAAAUAUGAGUUUCAUCAGAGUCCAUAGGCUGAGAACAAUCUUUGCACUCCAGAUCAUCUAGUCCUGAUGGUAAAUGUGUCUCAAAUUGAUUUUCAUCAGAAUCCAUAGUCUGAGAACAAUCUUUGUUUUCCAUGUUUGACAACGGAAAAGGUGUCUCAAUUUGAUUUUCAUCAAAUUCUAUGGGCUGAGAACACUCUUUGUUCUGCAGACCUCCCUGCCCUGACAAUGCAAUAGGUCUGUCAAUAUGUUCAUCAGAUUCUGUUGGCCCAUAACACACCAUACGUUCUAGAUCUUCAGGUACUGACAGUGGACAUGGUGCGUCAACUUGUUCAUCAGAUUCUGUUGGCUGAGCACACACCUUGUAUUGAAAAUCUUCCUGUACUGACAAUGGAAUAGGUAUCUCAACAUGAUCUUCAUCAGGUUCUCCUGUAGGUGGAGAAGACUCCUUGUUUUCUGGAGCUUCCAGUCCUGACAUUAGAUCAGGUGUGUCAACUUGAUUUCCAUCAGAUGAGACGCCUCUUGGUGGAGAACACUCCUUGUUCUCUGGACUAGCAGGUGCCUCCAAAAGGCUCUCUGUCGAAGGAGAUGAUAUUGCUGAAAACUCAUCUUCAUUUAUGGAUGCGUUCAGGUCAAUCUGAACUCCAAACUCAACAUCAUUUAUGGAUGAGUUCAGGUCAAUUUGAACUCCAGGACCAUCUUUCUUGAAUUUACUCUUUUCUACAUGUUCAUCAGCAGUUAAUUCUGCUUCUUUGACCCAUACCGAAUCAUGAGGCACAUUUAAAUCAAGUAGCACAGCUCUUUUAGAACCUUCAUGCUUUUCUGUUCCAAGUGUUUGGAAACUCUGGGAAACUGCCACAUCCAAAGAACAGCUAGAAGGCAUGAAAUUCAAGUCUAUGUCCUUUUGAGCAUUGACAUUUGCAGAAUCCUGCAUGUAUCUGGUCAUUCCAUGAAGUUCAGGCACUAAACCAUCUUUAACUCUUAUCAGAUUAUCACAACCAAUGGUUGGUGGCUGAUCCCCUGAGUUGUUGGAUUCUAAAUAAAAGCCAUUGAUAAAGCUACUGUCAGCGACCGUACCAUCAUGUGUUGUACUAGACCUCAGAUGCUUCUUUAACUGUAACCUUUCUUCCUCAAGCCCAGGCCUUAGUGUUGAUGAUUUACAGUUGUUACUGAGUGGUAUAGAGGUGUCGACAAUUGGGGUGUGUGCCAAGUCAUGUAUAGGUUUUCUUAAACCUGCAAAGCAUGAGGACCCAGAAUUUUCCAUGUAGUCACGAGGAAUAUGCUGAGAUGAUGUGCACAUCAAAUCUCCACUUUGUCCAGAUUGAUGACCACCUUUAGAACCAGAAUUUCUUCUGAGGUUCUGAACACCAAUCGUUGCUCCUUGACUCGAUGAUUUUUGGCAAUUGUGAAGCAGGGAUGACGGUUCAUGUUGCUUGAGCUUCUUAUGUAAUGAGUUAGAUGACGAGGACAAGUAAUCUGCAUAUAAGAAAGUAUUGAAGCUGCUUUGAAUUUUCCCUGAAAGGAUAAGUGCUUACCAUAUAAGAAAACUACGAGUUAUCAAAGCUAUGCAGACAGAUUUUAAGUGACUGACUUUCAAACUGACUCUGAAGCAUAUAUGAUAAACAACACUCUAAAAUUAAAAUGGGGAAACUUGAAAUGCUCACCAGCACUGUGAUUACAAGACAACAACAGCUCCUGUUUGCUUUUUGUGCCUUGCAGUAGAAUACUUGAGUAAGCCUCGAUGUCAGUGGGCCCCACAAAACGAUUGGAUGUAAAAUCUCUUUCUUCCUCUAGCUCAUACCGAUGAUUUAAGUCAACCAGACCUUUUUCUAAUGAUGCAGCACUUGAGGCAUAGUUGGGAACAGAGUUGAAUCCAUUAGUUGCAUAACCAUUGCACACAACCUCGGGAAUUUUCUUAGUAGGAUAACUUGAUACCUCAGCUGCUUCAGAAACCUUUCCAUCUUCUAACAGUUCCUCUUCUUCACUAUCAAUGUAUAUUGUAUCAGGUGGAAGUUGAAGGUCCCAGUUCUUCCGAGAUUUCUUGCAUUUAGAUUUCAAAAAUCUACGGUCUCCUGAAUGGUCUUCAGAUUGAACAGGAUAUGAGCAUGCCUGUAUGUUCCUCUUUUGAACAAAACAUGAAGGUAACUGGACAUUUUCAGCACCUGAAAUAGAUAAUUGACUGCAUGCGGGGAUGUUGAACGUCUUUUGAGUACAGACAAGCGAGGUUUGAGACAAAGAAGAAGUCUGCCUUGAAGCCUCAGUGCCCAGAUUAUGUUUAUCUAAUUCAUUCCUUGUCAUGCCCAUUAAUUCUCUCUGUCUUCCAUAUAGGCGGUGGAGGUCCAGAAUCUGGGUGUCACAAGACAUUUCAGGUAAGGUGUUAUUUGUUCAUGCCAUUAAUUGGUUGUGAAAAAUAUAUAAAAAUAAAUUAAAAAGCUAGAAGAACUGAAACUAAACCUGAAACAAAAAACAGAACACUCAAGUGUAAGUUCAUGUGAUGCUUUCAAGAACAAAAUUAUAUAUAGAUUAUGACUCAAUAUCUUCCGAUAACUCCAGUUAAUAUCUCAAUGAAACUAAACAUGCAGUAAAUUCUUUACAUGAAGAGUCGCAAUAGUAUACCUGAUUUUUAAAUAUCAUUUCUUGAUUGAGCAUUGUCUGCUUGAACUCCUCCUUGUAAUACCCAACAAGCUGGUCAGUAGUUAAAUUAUGAUUCCUCUCACUGCCAUUAGCACUUGAGUUAUGAUUCAUUUUGGGGAUAUAUACUGGGGGAAAGCUGUUACAUGGAACAUGAGCUUCCAUUUCUAGCAAGUCUGCGUGUAUUAAAGCACAAGUUUACUGAAUAACUCAACAACGUAUAAUCUCAGUUCUACAAAAAAGAAACCUUGCAACUAUCAACAAAAGUUAGAACUUUUUCGUAUUGUAUGGCAUUAUAAAGAGACUAAUUCACUAUGAUUCUUCCCAAGACUUUUUCACUGGGAGUUCUGGAAUUUCAAGGGUACGAGGCCUCAAUAACAGAUAAUGUGGAUGUCAGGAUUACUUACCCUGUUUAGAUCAAUUGAUAGAAAAUGGUUUUACUAGCUUAAACACAAAAAUCAUAGUCCAUCACUGAAGCACAUUUCAGAAAUUUUUCCAAGCAAAAAGGAAAACUGAUAUGUUUUUAAAUUCAGGCGGCCAACAGAAACAUCUCCUAAGAUAAUGCUGGUGAGCCAGAGGGAAUCCACAUCCUAGCAGCAGUCUCAAUGCUGGACAAGAUGCCGAUACUGAAUGGCGAAAGCUCAACCAACUCAUAUCGAUGUGUUAUAAAGGUUCCCACAUAUCUAGCAGAAAAAGUUUAAGAGUAAACCGAAAGGCAAUAAACAUACUCCAGUACUACUGGAAACAAAUCCAAAAGGCCGAAAAGCAUCAAGCAAAGUCGAUACCAGGCUAGAGUAAUCUACCAAAUGUUCACUAAUUAAUAAUUAGCAGCAGAAAAUUACAACUCCUCAAGAUCAAACAAAGCAUGAUUUUGGCAAGAUGGUCUUCGUUUUGAUCAUUAAUACACCCCCAUGAAGAAUCCAUUGGACUUUGCCCUCAAAAAGUGUAAACAACAAAUCAUAAAUUACAAGAGAAUCCAGACUCAGAACACCAAACGAAAACCAAAAAAAAAAAAAAAAAAAAAAAAAAAAAAAAAAAACCCAAAAAGUAUUCAUCAAACCAAAUACCCAAACAAGUGAGAACACUGAAGAAAAACAUAUAUCUCAUCUACAAAGAAAGCUUCACAGACCCAACAAUGAAACCAUCAAACACUGAAAAACGCACAUUCAUAAAUGUCCAUUAACAAACCAGAUAGAGAAGAUAAAACCGAGAGCAGAUAAAGAAAAAAAAUAGUGUAUCACACUUUUUCUCUUUUACAAAACCAAUCAAAGACGUAAGCUUUAAUCGCUGAAAAACGAAUCAAAACCCGUACCUGAAUUCCGAUGCAUGACUCCUCCUCAAAAACCCACAAAGCUUGAUCAUUCACUCAUUCCCAGUAUUCCAUUCAUGCUGGCUUGUUCUGCAACCCAAAACAAAGAACAACCCAGAAAACCAAAACCCAUGAACAUCAGAAGAAUCAGAACAGAACAGUAAACCAACACAGCUCAAAGCAUCAAAAGCCAGCAUUUUGGGAAAUAAAAUAUAAUAAACAUGGAAGCUUUGGGAUCCCAAUGGGCCAUUUUUUGACGAAGGAAGAUUUAGAGAGAGAAAAAGAAAGAAUUAGUACCCAGAAAAACUAAAUACACAUGAGAAAGAGAGACAUGAGAGAGAGAGCUGUCCUCACCCAUCGUGUUUGUUUUUGGAUUUUUGAGCAAGUGGGGAUUGUCUUAUGAGGGCUCUCUAGAUUCUCUCAGCCAUUUCUGAAAAUAAAUAUUUGGUCAUUUUUCGAUAUUAUUGGGAAAAUCAGACAGUACCUGUAGGAGAGAGUAUGCAAACCGGAUUUUACUGACAGUAGUACCAGCAGUACUGGUGUAGCUCCAUAUAUAUAAAGAAAAAUCAAAAUUGCUGUCAUCUCCACCUAAAGAAUCUCUCUUUCAGCUGAUCAAUGGAGAAAAACAAAAACACAAACCCAAGAAUUAAAUUAAAAUUGUUUUGUUGCACGAGCGUUUACCUCGGAAAUGUAAUCUGUGACAAGAUGUGAUUAAUUUUAGGAGUAAAUGCUUCUGACAUCCUGUAGUUUAUACCUAAAAUCAGUUUUGUCCCUCAGUUUUUUUUUAAACUGGUAUACCUUUAUACUUUGAAUUCUCGACUGAUUUGCUUUUGUCGUCAAUUGACCGUUAAAGAAGACUGUUAAGUUGCUGAGAUGACCGGUCCUGCAAUUCCAACUCAGCUAGAAACCUGCAACAUCGACAUCAGCUUUGUGAGACGAGCUCGAUGCUCUCCAGCUUUGCAGGUCCUUCGGCAAGCCUCACCGGCGGCGCCGACGAAGAGGCCUUCGUUGUCGUGGCCGCAGCCGAGGGCGACUUUAGAGCGGCGGAAGGUGAGGGUUUUGGUGGAGAAGUCGCCGAAGGUGAAGGAGUCAUCGCCGUAGGAGACUUGGUAGAGGCAGAUUUUAGACUUUGAGCUGCAGCCGGGGGAGUCGAGGUGGCGGCAGAGAGGGGAGGAGCAAGGGAGGGAGGAGAAGGAGGAGGAUUUUCUCGGGUCGAAAACCGGGUCGGUUUGGGAGUAUCAGCGUUUACAAGGAGCGCAUUGGAGCCAGAUGACGUCGGAGCCGGUGUCGAGGACCAUGUAGAGGUAUUUGGGGGGAGAGCCGACGCCGAUGCGGGUGAAAUACUCGCCGCUGUCUUGGGAGAGGCCGGAGACGAUGGAGGAGCUGAACCGGGAGGAGGGUGGGCCGGGUCGGGUGCGGUUGUAGGCGAGGGAGGUGAGGGAGUUGAAGCAGAGGGAGUCGCGGCGGAGGCGGAGGUGGAAGAGUUGGGAGGGGGUUUGGUUGGAGGAGAGGGCGUUAAGGUGGUGGAGGAGGGAGGGGAGAGGGAAGAUAGGUCGGAGUCGGGUUCGGAUGUUUCUGAAAAGGAUUCGAGUUGGGAGAGAGAGGGGGCGGAGGGGGAGGGGGGAGAGGGAGGAGGGGUGUGGUGGUCAAGGGCAGCGGAGGNNNNNNNNNNNNNNNNNNNNAAGUGGGGAGAUGAGGGAGAAGAAGUGAGAGAGAGAGUGUCAACAUGUUAGCCACGUCAGCUACAUAACGGGUUCAAUUGACGACAAGGGCAAAUCAGUCGAGAAUUCAAAGUAUAGGGGUAUACCAGUUUAAAAAAAAAAAGUGAGGGACAAAACUGAUUUUAGGUGUAAACUACAGGGUGUCACAAGUAUUUACUCCUUAAUUUUGUAAGUAUACAAGAAACGGUUAUAUGCGUUACUUAGUCAACAUGUACAUCAUUAAAACGUGAGUUGUUUUUAAGAAGACAAAAAUGAUUAGCUUUCCACGUCUUCAUUCAGUGAACCAAACGAGACUUGAAUGAUAAUAAAAUAAAUAUAAAUUAACUGUUCUCGGGUAAAAAAUUUAUGUUAAAAGUAACCGUUGUAAUGUAUUUGUUUAUCAAAUUGAAAAUUUGAAUAAACUCGAAUGGAUGGACAAGAACAACCAGUCAUUUUCCUUAUAGGAAAACAAUAGUUCUUAACUUCAUCUCAAGACACGUGAGUCAUGACAAGUCAAGCUUGGUAAGUUGAAGUUAUCUCUCAUUUGGUUAUUUCUACAAAUAAAUUCAAAAAUGUAGAACUAAUCAUUCAUUAAUAUGUUCCCAAAAACAUGACACGUUUAAACAACAUUCUAAUCAACCCCUUGAUCAUGGUUGCUAGAACCUCAUAAGUUCAUAACUAAUAAAGACUCAAUCCUCACAACUAACACGACACAAGAAGAUUAUAACUUUAUUAACUUGUUAAUCUAAUGAAUUAGUUACAAUGUUUGCAUCACAUCUAUCUUGUCACUAAACAAAAUAUCAAGAAAAGAAAUAAAAACAAAGAAAAAGGACUAAUUGCUAUAAUUGAGGAGAAAAACAAUGGGAAAAAUACAAGAAAGAAAGACUUCCCUCAAAAGCUUCUAUAUGGAAAAGGACAUUGUAAAGCUUAUUGGAAACUUUUGUUUAUAUGAAAGUCAAGAAAUGUAGAAUAAGGUUUCAACUUGGAGCUUAAGAAACCCUAAUUAAUGAUCAAUUAUCUUUUUAUUUUCCUUUUUAAGAGAUAAGGAUAAUCCUUGUGAUAGAGUUAGUUAUGCAUAGAUAAUGUUUGGCCUUUUACAAUGAAAAAAGAGGCAAAAAGAUGGUCUCAAUAUGUAAAUGUAAAUAUGAAUAAAGAAUGAGUUAGUGUUGUGUGAAUAUAUAAAAGCCCAAGGGCCUUAUUUGCAAAUAUAGUAAAAUGGAGGGUUGGAAAAACGAAUCCUCGGUAGAAGGUUUGCGUUUUAUGGGGAGAAAAUAUGCGGCGGGCCCCACUCGUCCAAUCCCCGAUGUCGAUUUGCAUAGCAAGUCUUGGACUUUCCAAUUUUUUAUUCUUAUUUGGGUUGCAAUUACUGAUGUGUCAUUAAUAAUGGAGGAUGACGAUAUUACCCCCUUGACGUCACUCUCUCGUGCGUCUCGCUUUCACGGGCCACAUUUUCUUUACCUCUUUUGGGCUUUUUUUAAAUAAUCUAGCUAGUUAUUAUGGUAACUUUGAGUAAACCCUAUUACUUUCUCCUAAAAAUGUCAUGUGAAAUUGGGUGAAUGUGGCUAUCUUUCUCUUGUUUUGAAUGAUAUAGGAUCUAAUAUAGUGAAACAUGAUAAAAGAUAAAGUGUAGAGACAAAGAGAUAGCAAGAGAGUCAUCAUUUUAUUUAUUGAUAGGAGCCCUUUAUAUAGGGAAUUACACAAUACCAAUAUGGUAAGGAUAUGAAUACAUAGAUCUAGUCUAACAACAUAUCAUAUUGGCAUAAGGCCAAGGCACACAUAGAGAACAUCCUAGAACACUUCCCCUUGUGCCGCGCGCUGAUAUGCCGAUGGUGCUGAUCUGUUGCCUCGUCAAAAACCUCGUCAAGUCACAAAAACCCUGUGGGAGAAAAACUGAACCUUGAUCGUAGGAGAAAAAGAGUACAACGCACCCUUCACAUUUAAUAGUGACAUGUAUGUAUGUGCUAGACUCUCCCUGAAGUUCACACCCCCCCUGAUCUUUACAUCAAUCAUAGGGCUCUUCCUGAUUCUUACUAAUCACGGAAGUUUUAACAACUUAGCAUGUCAAUGCUUUUUAACAUGUCUUCAAAUGUGGCAUUGGGCAAUGAUUAACUAAAUCAUACCGUAUUGUCCUCAAAUGAUCUUUUACACUUAGAUCUUGAGGAGAAGGUUGCUUGUGAACUCAAAACAUAAGUUCGUGCAGGAAAUCAGAUUUCCGCCAAGCAUGACCUUCAAUUACUAGAACAGUCGUAACUUCCUCUAGGAAAUACAUAUGAACGAACCGUAAAUGUUUUUGGAAACUAGACUCAUUUAGCUUUCCAACCGUAUAUUACACACAUUCUGGUUCAUCAGGAGCUGUUCACAAAGUCCCAUCGAAGUUGACUGUUUUGCCAAAAUCAGAUUCUCGGACAGAUUCGAUUCGUCCUACUUUACGAAAACGGCCAUAACUCACUCAAUAUGAUAGGUAUGAUCAAAUGGUUGGUGUCUCUGGAAAGUAGACACAUAGACCUUUCCAAUGGUACCAAUUUCACCAUUUUCCAGUGAGUGAGAUUUCCUAUAGGUCCCGUGGAAGUUGACCUACAAAACUUGGCAGAUUCUGAUUUCGCUUUUGAUGUGUCUUUCUUAUGUUGGGAUAGAAUAAGCCUCAACCUUUCAUACCAUUAAGUAUUAAAAAAGGAGUUACUGCCAUUACAUUGGCGUUGCGUGGGCGCAUAGCUACACUUAGCUUUACAACUUUUCAUAGCGAAUGAGAUGUCAAAUCUUUCGUAUUGUGUUGAGUACAUUGAUGCGUCUUAUUGUACUUAGAUGGGAACUCUAUCUCUUAACACAUAUUUGUCAUCUUGCUUUAGACAAAACAACGGAUCUCUCUUUAGAGCAAAGAACUGGACUAAUCAUGGGAGUAUAUGUAGGCCUCACUAGUUAUAGAGCGCCUAAGCCGAUUGAUGGAAAAUCAUCAUCAAUACAGUCAUCGAGUGCCUUAUCGAGACCAUGUCUUCCCAAGAUCUUUUUCUCCGGAUGUUGAUACACAUUGGCAUCUCUUGAUCCAUCAAGAGUCCAUGUAAAUCCGAAAUGAACACGCAAAGGCAUAAUUCACCAUAUCCCUUCCAAAUCAAGUAGAAUCCAUGUGCGUUUCAAUACAUUUAGCAAACGCAUGCUCCUGUGGUUUGGAGCCACUUGAUUCGGAUGAAUGAAGUCAGUUUAAGAUCUUCAUGUAUAUCUCUGAUCCCAUAGAGAUGUUAUUAUGACCACAUUCAUAGGCUGCAUGUUCAGUUAUUUGGAAACUACCAAACUGACAAAGUAGUGGAGUUCAAUGACAUCCAUUACGAGAGCAUAUCUCAUCGUAGUUGAUCCCAGUGCGUGUUAGUGAAAGACUUUGCGCCAUAAGGUGAGUCUAAGCUCUUACUCUCACUACGCUAUCUAACAAAGGCAUAGUUGAUAGGGUUUAGCUUGCGGUGUCGGCAUUACCUGCCCAAGGACCUAUCUCUUUGUUAAUGCUGGAUCGUAUCUUUCCAUUAGGCCAAUCAACUAAGUUGAUAUCCAUCAACGAAGGGUGGUUCGAUAGUAGACUCAUUAUCUCACGUCCUCAUGUACACUAGUGUAAUACUUGUAGAGAUCUCUAUAUGGAUUGGAUUUGACAUUGAGGCGUCCCCUAACGAUAAUCACAAUUCAGACUUCAUGAGACGGAUUUGAGUAUCACUGAUCAAUGGAUCAGGUUGUGCCAAGCUCGCUUUCUUUCUAGUGCAAGACAAUAUCGAACCUAAGGGCCUCCCUCCUUUUAGGGAGCCACACGGCCUUGUGACACCAAUUUUGCCACUAUAUGGCAUCACCAUAUCACCAUCCAUGGUGAUGGCGUCAAGACCAACACUUUUUGGUCGCGCCAUGUCCUUUUGUAGGACAUCAAUCCUUACAGACAUAUUUGCAGCAUGUGAUCUCGUCACUUUAACACUAUAAGCAUUUGGGAUCAAGAUGAGACUUAGUGGGGACAAACCACGACAAUUCACGUCGUUCCAACUUGAACACUUGUGUUCUUAUCGCCCCCUAACGGCGGGAAUAUUGUCUCAUCAAAGUGACAAUCCGCAAUUUAGCGGUGAAUGAGAUCGCCUGACAAGGUUCCUACAUAUGCGGAUUAUAGGUGGAGGUUCAUAUCCAACCUAAACUUAUUCAUCUCAAAUGACCCAUCAUUGUACGCAGUGGCAAUGCGAUUUGGCACCUAGAAAUAACAUCUAGCCGAGCUCAAGGAUUGGAGAUCCGUUUCAAUCCUACCGAGCUCAAGGAUUGCAAUUUCGUGUCAAUCCUGGUACACAGUCACGAGUUGUAGUACAACAAAAUUCAAUGAUGGUGGGUCGUAGAUGAAUAGUAAAGCUGCAUGCAAAUAUUGCAUAGCCCCAAGAUGCAAUAGAAAGAGUGGUGCGCAUCAAUAAUGUUCGAGCGACAAGCUAAAGUUGCUUGGUCGUAGCCUCGGUGAGACCGUAUUGCGUGUGAACAUGGGGUACAUGACACUUCAACUUACAUCCCGAUGAACUUCUUUAAAGAAUAGGUAGUGAGCCCGUAGAAGUAAAAGCAGUAGAAGCAGUAGAUAAUAGUGUAACACGUGACCAGUGUGUUAACACGUCAACCAACACCAUAAAGUAUAAAAAGGUGUCCGCAAGUUGGUUGUAUCUAUCUACAUAGUUUGAUGUAAGAAUAGAAUGUUCACUUUUGUGUUAUUUAGCGUAGGAGGGUCUCACUCCUUAUUUAGCGUAAGAGGGUCUCACUCCUUAUUUAGCUAAAGAAUAGGCUUUCAAAACGAGCAAUGAGCAUUGCAGGGGGCCAAUGCGACAUCGAGGAAAGGCCGGUGCACCUCAAUUGCUUGAGGAAUUGACCGGACGACCUCCAGGAAGUUGGAGUCGUGUUCGGGUGACGUCAAUGUCCCCCGGGUCACCACCAUGCUUCAUGGUGAUGCUAGAUCUCGAAUGUCUUCGUUUUGAGCGGAAGAAUGGAUGUCCAUGAGAAUUUCUCAAAAAUUUGGACCAUUAUAUCUCUUCCAGGUUGACCAAAUUUGGUCAAACCAAAGCCUAUAUGAGUCGGUGUCCCAAAUAUCAUGUUUGGCGACAACAUGGGAUUCGAUAUUCGAAUCGUAGUGACAUACAGUUCACUAGAUUGACUCAUGAAUUUCUCCAAGAUGCGCUUCAGUUCGCAUUCAUGAGGAUGUAUACACAAAAGAAUUCUUGUUCAUUCUCACAAUGUGUUUUCAAAUGAAAACCAUUAGCAUGAAUGUCUUUAAAGCUCAACAUGGUUCCUUAGAAUGUUGUGGAUAGUUCCACUAUCUGCGAAGCACUCAAUGUCUCUAUGAGACAUAACUACAAGGAGUAGAUAGGCGAGUAAAUAGUUCUACUUGAACCAUUUAGAAGGAUUGAAAGAAGCAACGAAAAGCUGCAAUCCCGAGAGUGCAUAAAAAUUUUCGCGCAGAAUGACCUUUGCGCACUAAAACAGCCAUAACUUCUUCGUUAAAAUAGAUAUGGACGAACCGUGAAAAGUUCUGAAAACUAAACUCAUAGAGCUUUCCAAUGAUAUAAAGCUCACUGUCUGGUUCGUCCGGAGCUGUUCACAAAGCUCAAACGAAGUUGACUGUCCAGAACGGACAGAUUGCUGUUUUUCGCAGAUUUGGCAUGUGCGAAGCUGUGAAGCUUGCAGGUGGCGUGUAGGCUUUUGCCUUAGCCAAAAGUGACGUGUGUAUGAUCAAAACCAAGUCCUUUCGAUCGUUCUAAGGUCGUAAACUCCAUGACUAGUUAGCAAAAGCUCCCUGACAUGAACAUAAACUAACUCAGAGGACCUAGAGGAUCCGAUUAUGAUGAUAAUUUUCCAGCUUUGAUAAGUCUUCAACGUCUUUUGCAAGACGGCAAUUGGUUUAAUAGCGUAGGGGGAUCCAAAAUCAAAAGCUUUCUGUAACUCCAAGUCAGUAUGACCAGGCAUGUCCGUGGAGGGUCGGUAGUGCGAGGCACACUUAAAACCACUAUCUCCUUAAUUUCGGACAAUUCUAAGACAUCACAUUGAACUUGGAUGAGCCUAGUUGAACAAUUGAUGAUGAAAAAUCCGCUAUAGGGUAGAAGACUUAACCGAAAACACGUGGGCGAUCCUCCUUGAGGAUGCAGUGCCAUGAGUCACCUUCAAAGGGAGGGACCAAAAUCGGCACAAUAUGCCAUGUUUCUAAGGACGAUGUAAGUGUACAUCUUGAUUGUAAAUCAAUAUGAACCAUAAGAGGAGAAUAGUUUCACUUCAAAAAAUUCUCAAGGCAUUCAUUAUUGCUAAUGUGAGUACAUCAAGGUCUCAAAUAGACAAAGGACGUCGAUACAACGCCUUAGUACAUAUAACUUGGAACGAAAAUCAAUGUCUAGCCAAUGAAAUCAAAGUACAUGGUAGCUAGAGCAGGAUCCGAAUCUUUGAAAUUCGCGAUCAUGAGGAUGACGUUCUUGUNNNNNNNNNNNNNNNNNNNNCUUUGAAAUUCGCGAUCAUGAGGAUGACGUUCUUGUCCUACAUAUUGAUUUUCCAUACCUUUUUGUAUGCAUUCACAAUUUAAAGGAGCUUGACAAUCUUGAACCAGUGAUCCGAAGAUCCACAACGGUUGCAUUAAUGUCAUGAGCUGACGUGAGUAGUUUUGACAAAAUGGUGUCUAGACUGGGAGUGUCGCUAUUAGAGCCGGCAACACCUCCCCCUCUUUUCUAGACAUCGGCACGACGUUUUCUACCGUUGUCAUGACCCAUAUUGUUGUCCCCACAUUAGGGGAUAAUCCCAAAUAAGUUUAUCACAUUAACGUAUAUACAAUUCUUGUUUGUAUGAUCAAAAUCAAGUCUCGUUGGUAAUUCCACACCAACUUGGAGGACCUAGAGAACUUGAUGAUGAUCGAAUCCGCUAAAGAUUAUGGAUCAUGAUGCCACAAAAGAUCAUCGACAAUAUGUAGUCAAUUAAGGUGGUAAGCAAUCCACUUGACUAAUAACUCAACAAGGAGAGUUAUAUGAACGUUUCGAGAAACGCUCCAUGAGUGCAUUCCACAGUACUUUAUGGUCAUUACUUUUUGCACAGAUUGCCAUUGAAGGCUUUUGUUGAUGUGGCGCGUCAAAGACUUUGAGCGCAUGAGAUGUGAAAUCUCGGCAUCUAGGCUUGUUAGCCUGGAGGUCAAAACAUAUGGUUUAAUCCUUUCCAAUGAAAGGUUCCACAGAUACCAAGCGAAGAUCCGCCUUAGGCAUCUAGUACGUCAAAACUCAAAGGAGCAGAAUGUUACAUUGCUCUUGCAUACAAAACCAAGCUGUUAUGAGACUCGAUAGAGGUCACAAACGAUGCUUUUAAUGGUUUGUCCUUCGGAUUGAUCAUACAUAAUCCGGAAAAGCCGCGAAUUGAUCAAACACAAUUCGGAAAAAGGCCUUGGAUUGAUCAAACACAAUCCGGUGAAAGGUCGGAGCUGAUCAAACACAACCCGGACAAAGAAACAAGAGUGAUCAAACACACUCUUGACCCGCGAAUAAAAUUCCAGGAUUUGGGUACCUGCACGCACAAAAUCCCAAGCAUAGAAUGGAGAUGGAGAAGGGAGGAAAGGAUUUUAUCCUCCCCGAGUUAUUGAACUUGGAAAAGUUUAAGGUUUCAAAAACAUACCUUUCUAGAGGCUGCCGAGAGGAGAAAUAACGUUUCGCCUACUUAUACUUCGAAUUUGGGGCUGAAAAUUUGAUAGCAGCUCUGGAUGGGGAAGCUGCUGUCAAAAUUUCAGGUUGAUCGGAGCAAGGGAAGGUGGUGAACCGGUGGUCGGUAGCGACGGCGGUCUGGAAUCUUUGGGCGGCCGGUUCGGAGACUUUCCGGCCGGUUCUCAGGGUGAGACCGGCGGCGUUGGAUCCGGGGCGGAGAGAGUUUUCUGGGGAUAUAAAAUUCCGGCGGAGGGCAGUCGGAAUUUUGGUCGAAAAUCGGGAAAAACAAAGCUGCCCGAUUUUAGGGUUUUGAUUUUUAGGGUUUAGAAAAAAAAUGGUGGGCUAUUGGCUCUAGGGUUAGAACAAAGUGCAUGAUAACGUGAUAAAGGAUAAAGUGUAAAGACAAAGAGAUAGCAAGAGAGUCAUCAUCUUAUUCAUUGAUAGGAGCCCUUUAUAUAGGAAAUUACACAAUACCAAUAUGGUAAGGAUAUGAAUACAUAGAUCUAGUCUAACUACAUAUCCUAUUGGCAUAAAGCCAAGACACACAUAGAGAAUAUCGUAGAACAAAACAUGCUUUUUCGACAUGAAGUUCUCACACGAGAAAAGAAAUAUGUCACAAGAAUACAUUGUGGGAACGAUAUUUACCAAGGAUUGAGUUAUUAGUGACAUAAGACUUAUAUAUCAAUGAAAAAUAUUCCUUUUGAUGAAUGAUUAGCCGGGUGAUGUGGAUUGUGAUAUUGAUAGAAUGGAAUGUUAGAUUAUAGGUCAUAGUGAUUAUAAUUACGACAAACUAGUAGGUUGUUGAAAUGAUGGUCAAUAAAUCAUAAAUCAUGUGAUUGUGAUGCUUGUGACAUAGUCAUGAACUCAUGCUUGGUAGAGGAAGCCAGUGUUGUUGAUCUGUUUGGAAAUGGCCCAAUACUUCUCAUUCAAAAAUCAAAUGCUGCUGCAGACAUUAUAUAUUGGGCUUUGCAUGCAUUUGAGAUUAUGAACUUGUGGGCGGAUGCUUGAUGGCCCAAGGACCCAAAUCAAGUUCAAAACUCAUUGUAGUAAUUUCAUUAUUGAUGAAGGUUUUCUCUUUGAUACCAAACCAAUAACAAUGACCAUCUAACCACCACUGCCAAUAUAUGGACAAAUUCUCUUGAAGUGUGGAAAACGUGGUAGACAACUAGACAUGCCUUGUGGCCAAUAGACUCCCAGGAAAAGCCAUGGGUCACAUUAAGCUACCUUAAUAACCACUAUGGAUGGUCGGACUGUUAGCCCUACAUGGAAAAUGACCAAUUGAUAUUUGAUAAUAUGGCAUGUGCAUCAAGUCCCUACCUUGUUUCAUUCUUCAUUCUAAGCUUCAAAGCAAUGACAGGAUUGACAGCUAGUCUCUACUUACCAGAUAACUCUGAUACAUACUCCACCUUGUUCUCAUUUCUCAAACAAGAAGCAAAUUUCAUAGAUCUUGUAAACAAAAUAAGACUCGACUCAAAACACACUUGGAAAAUGAAGUGUAAUCAACCAAUACAUAAAUAGAUAUAGAGAAAGGUGGUUCUUCAAUGCUAGCUAGUUGGUUGAAGCUGCAGCUGGUGUUUGGUUGGAAACUGGAUACUUCCUAGCAUUCUUGACAAUCUUACUGAGUGCUGCUUGUCCAAGAUCAAUGCCGCAAACAUCGGCAAGCUGGAUCAGAUAGAGCAGCACAUCAGAGAGCUCCUCUCCUAAAUGUUCUUUGUCAUCAGAACUCCAGUUUGGUAGUCCUCUUGCAACUUCACCCUUCCACUGGAAGAUCUCAGACAGCUCCCCAACCUCUCCAACCUGCAGGAUAAUAUAUAAUUUAUAUAAGUAUAUAUAUAUAUAUAUAAACAAAAACAAGAGGCUUGAAUUGAGUUAUCUAAUAUAGUUUGAUAAUUACUUACUAGUGCUAGAAGAAGAUUUCUAGGACUGUGGUAUUGUUCCCAAUCUCUAACUCGAGAAAACUCAGCAAGCCUGUCUCUCAGUUCCUGAAGUGAAACAUCUUUGUUUUCAUUUCUUGAAAACUCAUAGGAGC